ACGGUGACGUCUUUCUUGACAUUUAAAUGGAGCAGUUCUAAUAGAAUUAAUGUUCUAUUGGAUUGGGAUUAUUUGGAUUUGUGUUUCGGACUCUUUUAUAUUUAGCAUCCGUUAGCUCUGCCACUGAAAUUCUUCCAUUUAAGUGUUUAUUUUGCCUGAUUUUCCUUUUCCAUGUGCUUAACCAGGGACUUUAUUGCUUGAACCUAAGCCUCAAGAGCCAACAAAGCAUCAGUAUGAUUCUGCAUCUGUGUAAAUUGGUAAAGUAGUUGGUAAAGUAGCUUCCAUGAAUCACCUUUACUUAUGGGAGUCUUAUUACAUGUUGCUACAACUGCCAGUUUUCUGCGGAAGUAUGGCCUUUUAGGUGAGUAUCAAAUGAUUUGCCGCGUAGGAAUAUUGAAUUAAUGAAUUGCUGUGUUGUUCUUUUACUUUUGAGUUCUUCUGCCUAUUUUAAAACCAUGUCUUGAUGUUGCUCUGUCCAUCCCCUUGCAGGAGAAUUUAAAAUUAAUGUUGAGUGUAACCAUGCAACUUUAUCCGGGCACAGGUAUUUCAUGCUAUGUGAUGCUAAAACUGAAUGCUGAUUUGCUGCGAAUAAGUUCUUGAACUUGGAUUGUGUACCUGAAGAUCUCAUUGCUUCGGUGAAACUUUACUUCUUUUUUCAUUUCUGUAGUUGUCAUCACGAGCUAGAAACUGCUAGACUUAAUGGUCUAUUUGGAAACUUAGAUGCCAACACUGGCGAUCCACAGAUUGGUACUUUUCUAUAUCCAAAUCUGGAAUAUGCGCAAUUAAAACAUCUUAAUAGUAUUAGUAAUUAUGUAAUGCAAUCGUUGACAGGAUGGGACACCGAUCAGUUCCUCACUGAUAUUGGAGAGGCGACUUUGGUCAUGCUCAGUGUGGUCAGAAAUGUAAGUCAAAAAUUAAUUUUGCUUUUGGAUAGUUAAAAAGUCUUGUUGGGAACUUUCUAACUAUGUUCUUCAUCCUUGCCUUUCAUAGGGAGGAUUGGCACCAGGGGGCAUCAAUUUUGAUGCCAAACUGUAAGCAUCCUUUUCUUCUCUUCUCAAUGGGUCUUUUCUCUUUUUUGGAUUAAUACUGAUUAUAGAGGCUAUGAGUCAUAAUAUGGAUUUGGCCUAGUAUUGUUUUUAAUGCUUCAUUUCACUGAAGUAUAAAUGUUGUUUGUGUGAUAUUGUAGACGAAGAGAAAGCACAGACGUUGAAGACUUGUUCAUCGCUCAUAUUGGCGGAAUGGACACCUUGGCUCGUGGGCUCCGAAAUGUUGCCAAGCUGAUUGAGGUGAACUAAUUACUUUCGUUCAACUCAUUGAUGUUCCUAGUCCCGACAGUUUAGAUACUUCUCCUCAAUCAACAUGACUAAUUAUGCUCACUUUUCAAACAUAGGAUGGUUCUCUGGACGAACUUGUCAGGAAGCGAUAUGAGAGCUUUGAUACCGAAUUCGGGGCACAAAUUGAGGUACUUCUUCAGAGCAAGCAUGUCCUCUUACUAUUCCCUUUAAAUAUGCACCGAUUCUUCACUCUCUUUAAUUUUUAAUUUUUUAUUUUUUUUAUGAUUGAUCCUGAACUUUCUUCGUCAGGCUGGUAAGGUGGAUUUUGAAACACUUGAAAAGAAGGCUAUGGAAUGGGGUGAGCCCAAGGUUCCUUCAGCCAAGCAGGUAAUAUAGAAGGACUUAAUGAGGACCUUACAUCCUUCACUUUAUAAUUCUGUUCUUAGGUUCUGUGCUUGGCUUAUGUUUCUAGUCUUCUAAUCUUCCUUUUUAAGUUAAUACGAUGCUUUAAUUACUAGGAAAACUCUAGAAUGUGUUACUACAUGACUUGGCUAGUGGUUGCUUGAUCUUAAGUUGUAGGUCCUAAGAGUGCUAAAUACAACACUGUUAAUCAAAUGAUGCCACAUUUGCAUGUCUCAAUGAAGAUUUAGUCCUAAUCAAAUAAUGUCACAUGCUUCAUGUAACCAAGGACUUAACUAACUGGCUGUCGCAAUGGACCAAAGUGCUUUUAAGUAAUGCGUUUUCUUUUGUGUGUGAGUUAUUAGGACAAAUAUAGGAGAUAUAACUGUCAAAUAUUGAUAUGUUCAUUGCCUCGAUAAGUUGUUUCUGAAACAUUGAAUUGGAGCUACAAUGUUUGCUAUUAAUUACAAAUUAUGAACUUCUCUAGUAUGCUAUCCCUUUCUUGGCUACAAUUUUGCACUGAGCUACUCUUUGAUUAUCUUGGGUGCUUUCCACACCUAGUACUUGAAACGUCAUAUGUCCUUAUACUGUAACCUCAGAAUACACCCACAUCGCCAUCUGAUAUGUAGAUGACGAGCACCAUCUACUUCUAUAUCAUAGCAUAUUGACAGAGUCUUGAUCUUGGAGUUUUUUUUCCCCUAGCAAGCAUUAUCCUUUUUCAGGUGUUGGUAUGGCUUGAUCUGAUGUACCUGUUUGCCAUAUUUUCAGGAACUUGCGGAGAUGAUUUUCCAGUCUGCAUUGUAAAUAAAGCAAGGGUGCCUUCUUUUUUUGUUAACUUAGAAAAUGGUUCUCUGAGAUAUAAUGCUAGUUUCACAAUAACACUCUAGUUUCCUUGAACUCAGAUGGUUUUAGUAAAUCAAAUUCAACCUUUAUGUUCUUGGAGCAGUAUCAUUGCAUCUUUAUCCUAUUUCUGCACUUGCACGUGGUAUUUUCUAACGCUCUUUCUAUACGAAAGAGGUAGCUACAUCUUUUCGCUUCUGGGUUUAUGAACUGUUACGUUCAUGCAUGAAUUUUUCAUGUUUAGGGAAAAAUAUGAUGUUGCCGGAUAUCUGAUUGAUUUGAUUUGACCGAUCAAUGGCCAUAGAAGAUGCGUUUCAAUGUGAAAGUUAAGAAGUUAUAUAGUUUAUAGUUUAUGAUUGAUUUGUUUUGUCACAUGCUAAUCGUUACUCCACUUUAUGCACCCCACAGUACAAAUUACACAUUGGCAAGACUAGUCGACAUCUAGCGCCCAUUGGCAGUGAGCUGGUUUUGAUGCUUGUUCAAUAGAAUCGAUCAUAUUGCGAUAAAUUUGUCCAAAGAGUACGGGUUUUUACUGAUUUUCAGGCUUAAUUAUACGAUCGGCAUGAUGUUAGAUGAGUUUUCUUGCGAUUGAUAUGGAAGGUAGCUGUAUCUACGCGUCUCGUAUGCAAAUACAAAUUUAAACAAGUGAUGAUCGCAAAGGCUCUGAAGGCACACGCGCACGUGUUCAGUCUCAUCCAAAAGCUUAGAUGUCGAGUUUUACUUUACUGAGAAGUUCAAAAUGUGGCUUAUUUUAUGGAUUGAAACCAUCAAAAAGCUCAUCCAAAAACCUAACCCUGAGGAACCACUCAAGAGGAGCCUUCUAUCGAAUCUGAGAAACAAGUGCACUUGCUGAUAUUGACCUCUUUUAGUGCGAUCGUGAUGUUGGCCUCUCCUGCUAAAAUCCUGCAACUGCUCACUGCACACUCUCAUAACUCAAAUGGGUCCUAAAAGAACCAAAUCCUUCGCUCGAGGAAGACGGAAUUGGGACCCUGGCAACGAAUGCUGCGUCAUUGGAAAACGAGAUAUGAGUCCGACCAAGCGUUUUACUGCGUCGGUGUGAAUCGCGGGCAUGCGCAAUGAGCAUUAGAAUAGAGCCGGCAUGGAGAUCUUCAUAAAUUCUAAAAAAACAUGAAGUUUAUUGGUGUUUCGUGGUCUGCUUUGUCUUCUCUCUCACUCUGAACUCUCUCAGAGAUAGGUAUCUAGACUCUCAGGAUUUCCCGGUGAACUUACUUUCUAUCUUGAAACAGGGCGAGUGAUAUAUUAAUCUCUCCCAAAAGCACUCUUGUAUUAUCGGUCAUUGAUUGAGGAACUUGAAAAUAUAGGGAAGAAAAUAGUGCAUUUUUUUUUUCUAAAUAAAUCGAAUAUCUACUAUACACUUUACAAAAUAAUGUUCAAAACUCACUUUAUUUCUAUCUUAAUAUAAUACAUAUAUGAUAUAAGAAUAAUUAUAUUGCUUUAACAUUACCAUAUACAUAUCAGAGAAUAUUUGUUUAAUUAAUAAUAUUAUAACAAAUAUGAAUGGUCUAGUCCUUUGAUCAAUCUUAUCAAUUCAUAUAUUAAUGGUUUAACCAUUGAUUAAUCUCAUCAAAUCACAUGCUAAUAGUCCAUUCCAUGAAUCAUCUCAAAUUGCAUGUAAGUGGUCCAUUCCAUUGAUCAAAUUCGUGCUUAAAUAUUAACCGUAAUUCUACGUAACGCCUUGUGAUAAGAUAACUAAACUCGUUUCUUGGCAAUGACUCCACUUAUAUUGCCAAUGCUUGGCCCUUAAGGAUAUUUUAAACUAACAUGUAUAUACCCACAAGCCUCUCAAUAAACUCACAAAUAUUAAGCACCAACACAAACUUGUAAUGGUAUCAUUUACAAUUCACAAGCCAAUUUGGAAUCAAAUUAUAAAUGGUUUCACAAACCAAACAUAUUAUCUUUCUCAACCCAUUCAUCAAACUAAAUACAUUUCGCGACGUAUUUCUCAAACAAUUUCAAAAUACGUUUCAUAAACUAGGUUCACAAUGUACAUAUAACAUUUUGCAACAUGUUUCAUAAUCCAUUCUCAACUACCUAGUAAAUGCUUGAUCUAGAUUUUUAUGCAACUAACAUGUUCUUUCAUUACUCAUAACAUAUUGAAUCUCUAUAACUUUCAAGACAUAAGUUUACAAAUUCAUAAAAUAGAUAUCACCACUUACUUGGAAAUGCCCACAAAGUGUUAUUUGGUAUCAGAACUCCCUUUUGGUUGCUCCGAUCACAUCAACCUCGUCCCAAUUUUCCUUCCAAAAUGGAGAUCUUGAAUUCGCCCCCACGAGGAGGCAGCAUGUAGUCUCGAGUAAGUGUAAGCCGGCGUUGAUUCUCCCAGCCAGUCAUCUAUGGGGUGAAAGUCUUCUAGUGUUUCCUCUUCUUCCGGUGAGUAGUCAAUAUGCCAGCAAGUCCUGCGAGUGGUGUCAGUUUAGGAAAGCCCUCUUAUGCCAUUUGAUUAAUUCAAGUCCGUAAUCUUAACAAUUAGAUGAAAAUCAACUUCAAAACUAGUAAGACUACCUUAACUACAAAUUAAUUAAACUAUGACUGCUAUGAGCUAACAAACAAUGUACUAUUCGUGCCAACGGUUAUGUAACCCUAAAAAUUAAACGAGAAUCAACGUUAAAACCUAGUAAAACUUAACUUUAACUACGAAUUGGCUAAACUAUGUCUAAAUGCUAACAAAAUAACUUCUAGGCGCUAAUAAAGCACUCACUAACCAACCAAAAAAAAAAAAAAAAAAACACUCACUUGAAGUGAUUAUUCACGCUUAAUGUAAUGUGGAACUCGCACAUAAAAUCCUAAAGUUCCGCUUCUACAAAAUCAUUGCUCCAAAUUGACUUCAGUCAAAACCCACAGCUCAAAGACACUAUAAUCUACUAUUUCUAUAAAAUCUCAUAACUCAAUAACUCAAAAAUUGGACUUCGUAGUUCAAUUUGCUAAACUUCGAAUUUGUGCCUAACCCAGAAAGUUACUCCGUUUGAAUGAAUAAAAGACUUGAAUCCUUAUUGGGCGUUGCAAUGUGUGUCAUGGUGUCUACAUCGCAUACAUGGAAUCUCUCUUCUUUUCAUUCUUCUUCCCUUAUUUUCUUUCUCUCCCGUUUUGUUUUUUCUUUCCCGUGCAUUGCUUUCGGUCCUCUCUCUCUCUGUCUCUCUCUCUAAAAUCAAUUUCCUAAUGCACAAUAUUCUAGUUUCCCAACUAAUCAGGUUAAAUUAGGAUCAAUUAGGGCAACAGUAUCUUCUGCACCAUUUCUUCUUCUCAUUUUUCUUGUGGGCCCCCACCCUUUGACAGGUCAAGAUAUUAACAUUAUAUAUCUUCAUGAAGUCUGAGAGACCGACCAUAAAAAAAAGAAGUCUGAGAGGCGUCCAUUUGAAUCACCGGAUGCCCCGGUGCCUUCACUCUCUUGGCAAUCUUGUAAGAGAACGGUAGGGUUUAAACAUACAAUGACGACGAUGAAAAUCCCCUCGGGGGGGAGAUCAAAAUCUUUGGACGAGACUGUUCCCGUCGCGCCUUGUCAAAUGCACGCCGUACGAUUCAGCAACAUUACAUUUAAGACCGACCUAUAGCAGGGAUCGAAUUGCUUGGGGAGCACCUAGUUAGUGUCAGGAGAUUUUCCUGUCUAAUCUUUGGAAGGACGUGGCUGUCGCGUUUCUAGCUUGGGAAGUUCCAAUGAAAAUCUUGCGGCUUUUUUUAUGCCACUCUUAUCUCUCCUUUUUUAUGGAUAUAAUGUCAGAGCUUCAAUCCUAACCCUCAUUCAACACCGUUCGGCGGACCUCCCCUUCAACGGUGAGAAAGGGCGCUGGACACCCACCAACUUUUGGCAAGCUGGACAUAGGAUCCAUCCUCUCCGAUUGUCGCACGAAAUCUCAGAUUACGAUCAAACGCCUCCAAAUGCCGGUCCUAAACGACCAAAUCUCGUCUCGACAUAUGCCCCAAGAGUCUAUUAAGCGGCGCAACCUCUUUUUGGAUUAAUCUGCUAACCUAGCCAAUCACAUGACAAGAAAAAUCGCGAUAGAGAUCCACUCCUGAUCCCGGGGCGAAGCACGGAUUUCCGCACGAGUUCUAGAUUUCACCUAGGCCUCAUCUACCCGUACCAUCCGAACGGUAAGCCUUGGCGGUAUUUAGGCCUGUUAGGUAGCUAUCGCCCCGAUUUGGUAGACCCUGGAGCCUUCAUUAGAAUCGUGGGCAUGCACGGCGAGCAUAUAGCCUUUCCAAGUGUCGCAAAAGGAGCGUGUAGAAAGCACAGCUCCAUCGUCACCUUAGGAAAACCUCCCCUCUCCAUUCUCCGUUAAAAGCAUGAAGCCGCGGGCCCUUCAAGGUCCUGCUCUCUGUCUUCUCUUCUGUCUUCUCUUCCAGUCUGGACUGUCCCAAACGGUGGUCAAGUUGCUUCCCGGAUUGCCUGGAGACCUCCCUUUUUAUCUCGAAACCGGGUCUGUGACAUUCCCUUUCACUGAUUUGUACUGCUGUCCUUCUCUCCGUUUCUCUCUGUCUCUCUGUCUCUCUUUCUUUGCGUACUCCUCUGAAUCUUUGUAUGUUGUGACUGAUCCUUUACCCCUUUUUUUCUUGUUUUAGAUACAUUGGAGUUGGGGAGUUGGAUGAUGUUCAACUUUUUUAUUACUUUGUCGAGUCGGAGAGGAGCCCGAGAGAUGACCCUCUGGUGCUAUGGCUCACGGGCGGCCCCGGUUGCUCUGCUCUCUCCGGACUGAUUUAUGAGAUCGGUGAGUCCUCCUCUAAACCUUUGCCUUUGCCAAAACACAGGUCAAGAGAAACCAAGCUGAGCCUGUCGGAUGUGGUGGUCAACCGCCGAGAGUGAAAUCUAAGAUUCCUAAUUUUCAUGGUCACCGUCUUACUGUCUUAAUCAAUUAAUACCCUUUUGUUUGCAAAUCGAACUCCAUACUCGUGGGAGGUUGAUUUCGAGGCUUCAGGCACAACAAGAUUGUAGCUGACAACCAACCUUUAGAAAUCGAUUACUACUUUCCUAGGCGAAUAGUUACUAUAUUAUGUCUCUUAUGUCAAUGACACAAAAGGGGAUAUUAGAUAAAUGGAAUUAAGAGACAAUGACAUUUCUUCUUAGUUCAAAAAGUAAGUUCAUGUGGCACUUGAAUUUUGCAGGCCGUUGCAUGCAGUAAGUUGAUUACGGCAUGAUAAAUGGACAUGUCAUUAAAUUUUGAAAUUUUAUGUAUUCUAAUACGGAUGUUCAUUACAUGUAAUGUAGGUCCAUUUACGUUCAAUUACGAGAAAUCUACUAGAUUCAGACCAGCACUCAAAUUGAAUGAUUAUUCAUGGACAAAGGUAACAAGAAUUCAUUUAUGCUACAUGAACCUCUUAAUUUGAUUGGACAACCGUUGAGUAUACCAUAUUUCUAGUCUUAUAUAUUAGCAAGCCGUUCAUGAUUAGCUCUGUUCACUACACAGGUGGCGAAUAUUAUAUUCUUAGAUCAGCCUGUUGGGACUGGAUUUUCUUAUGCUAAUAGCUGGGAAAGUUAUAAUAUGAACGACAACAUUUCGGUCGCAGAAUCUUACGAAUUUCUAAGGAAGGUAAAGUCAAAAAGAGAAUUUUUAUUUAAAGGAGAGUCUCUACAUAAUUAAUACUAUUAAUCUCUUUUUAAUCUUUUGGCCUUGUUGCUUGAUCUAGUGGCUUAAGCUCCAUCCCCAGUUUUUGAGCAACCCACUCUACAUUGCUGGGGACUCUUACUCGGGUGUCACUGUUCCAAUGGUCGCUUUAGAAGUUGAUAAAGGUAUCAUUAUUUAUUCAUUUUUUCUUCCUCGUGAGUAACCAUUUUAUAUUUGCAAUUCUACAUGUCGAUAUUUUUAUAUUUCAAAAAGUUUCGAAUAAAAAAGCCCAAGUGUGUAGUCCCCAAAUUCAAAUUAACCAAAAAAUAAGAAAAAUAUAAGUCAAUUCAAACGCGUCCUAAAAGACGAUUUUGUUUGUUUCUUUUGGGGAUCAUGGUCCGUUAUGAUUUAUACCAGGAAAUGAAGCCGGUUUGGAGCCUAAGAUCAAUCUUAAGGUAACUAUCGCUAUCAUCACAUUAGUACACUCAUUAUUUUGCAUUUCCUUUUUGAAAGAAUGAAACUUAUCGGUUCAAUUUGAUUCAGGGCUACGUACUCGGAAACCCUCUAACAAAUUAUAAUAGUGACCUGAAUUCAAGAGUCCCAUUUGCUCAUCUGAAGGGUCUUAUAUCAAAUGAGCUAUAUGAGGUAAAGACUUAUGCUUUUUCUACGGCAUAUCACGAGACAAAUUUUUUUCAUGUUUUUUGUUAUUGCCUAGUGCGUGAAAAGAUUGAUUGAGACGCAUACUACAUGUAUUAGAUGUAGACGUGCAUCGUUAUUUUUAGAACGAAAUACAAAUUCAUAAAAUUUUCUUAAUUAUCAAGACUAAUAUCAUAAAAAGCGAGAAAACAAAAGGUAAAAGUAUGUGUUCUGAGAUUUUUGCCCACACCAAAUAUUUCUCCACGAAUCACUUAUUUUUAUUUAACAUUUGAUUCCAAAAUUAAUGUCCAUCUUAUAUAUGUAUUCCAGUCAGCUAAAACAGAUUGUAAUGGCAAGUACUUAAACGUCAACGAAAGCAAUGCUGAUUGCGUCGACGAUAUUAAAGCUGUGAACCUGGUUAGUUGGCAUUCAUUCUUCUUUUCUUUCCUUCCUCUUUAUUUCUUUAUUAUUUCUUUCUGUCUUUUUUCCCUUUUUGAUCAAUAUUUUUUUAUUAUUGGAAAUUCCAUGUAUUGAACCUAGACUUUUUGCUAACUAUAGUGCCUGGAGAAUAUAAAUACGGGAAGCAUACUGGAACCGAAAUGCGUGACUCAGGCUCCCAAAUCGACGGUGAGUGAUAGGUGGGACCCGACCUUAAUAAAUCGAGACCGUUCACCUCUCCUUUUGCCGACGCAGAGAGCUCCCCGGGUUUGGUGCCGGGUAAGUGUCAACUAUUUAGCAUCAUAAUGUAAUCUAUAAUUAGAAACAUCGCUUAUUUUUCUUUUUACCUUUUAACUAAUUUAAUUUUAGGAAAAAUGACGUAAACAGUCCCGGCAUUUUGGCUCAAUAUGUAAUUUGGUCAUUGGAUUUUAAAUUUGUUUAAUAUAACCUCUAAACUUUCAUCAAAUGUGCAAUUUAAUUCGUUCAAUAUAGUCCUUGAGCUUUUGAUUCAUAUUUAAUAUAGUCAUUGAACUAUAUGAAAAUAUUUAAUAUAGUCAUUCUAGUAAUUUGAGACCAGGGAUUACUUGAACAUUUCAUACAAUUCAUGGAUUAUAUUGAAUAUAUAUUAAAAUUUCAGGACUAUAUUGAAUAAAUUAAAAGUUUAUGGACCACUUACAAAUUGAGCUAAAGUCAGGGAUCAUAUUGAACAAAUUAAAAGUUUAAGGACCAAAUUGUAUGUUGGGCUAAAGUUCAGGGACUGUUUGUGUUAUUUUCCUUUAAUUUUAGCCACAUAUGCACUUUGACUUUUCUAUACUCAAAAUACCUAAAACUUCCAUAAUAUAUAAAUAUUAACACAUAGAUUCGAGUAUAAGGUUUUCAUAAAUUAUUGGAAUUUGAAGAUUCGAGUAUAAGGUUUUCAUAAAUUAUUGGAAUUUGAAUAAUAUAUAUAAUUCUGACGAGAAAACAAGAUGUCAUUUUUUGUUUUGUUAAAGUAGACGUGACUUAAUUAAUUAGAUAUUUGCUGGACCAUCAUCUUCAUUGUUCAAAUUACUACUUUUUCGGAUUAGUUUGAUCCUCUACUUCAUCAUCCAUUCUCUACUCAAGAAUAUCAAAUGCACGUUAACAUUUACGUUCAAGAGAAACGGGAAAGAAAAGAGUAAUGUUCACAUCAUUGAUUAUUAGCCACACCAUACAAUACAAAUUUGUUACGCUGUAAUUAGUAUCCAUUUAUAUCAAAAUUCGAUAAUUAAUAUAUCAUUAAAGAACAAGGCUAGAAAUUAGAAAUGAAAAAUCUCGAAAUCUGAUGAUCUACCUAUUUUCGUGAUAAUAACAAAAAUUAAAGAAUGUCUUGUGAAAUUGUCUUGUGAAAUAUUCCUAAUACAAAGAAUCAUGAUCAAAUUGCAAAGUUCCCAGCUCAAUUCAGUAACCUUGUUUUUCAAUGUAGAAUUAUAAUUAUCUCUAUUCCUAUAUCUGGGCUAGCGAUAAAGCGGUUCAAGAUGCUCUUCAUAUCCGAGAGGUAUGUCAAUUUGUGAUGAUGAUAUAGUAAAAUCACUCUUUAAUCUUUUGCUCUUUUUUUUUAUUAUCUAUUUUUGGUCUAUGUUUUGUGAUGUGUUUAAUGAUAAGCCAGGGGACAAUUGAGGCGUGGGUAAGGUGCAAUAAGACUUUAUCUUACACAUCCAAUGUCCUAGUUGUCAUUGACAUACAUAAAGAGCUCAUAAAAAGAGGAUUUCGAGCGCUUAUUUAUAGGUAAUGAAGCACCGCUUUGCAAUGUGAUUUAUGGCUCAUAGUCGACCUACUUACUUCAUUUAAUAUUACUCUUUCUUAAUGUGUAGUGGUGAUCACGACAUGGUCAUCCCGUACGUGGGAACUCAAGCCUCGAUCGACACACUGAAUAUGACGAUUUCUACAGAUUGGCACGCGUGGUUCGUUGAUGGACAAGUUGCUGGGUCUGGUUUCAUAACAACCUCCUAACUAUUGCAUAGUUCACUUUCUAUAUAACUUGUCCCGACAUUGCAGUACUUAUGCUGAUUUUAUUGAAUGAGGCUCCUGCAUGUUCGAUACUCGGUGAAAGUAAUAUGCUGUCCAUCCGAGUUCCUUAGGAUAAUAUCGCAAAGUGCAUGUAUAGCAUCUACACAAUUUAUCCUUUUUUUUAUUUUUAUUUUUAUUAUACCUUCUAUUGGGUAUCUCAAUUGUUUGUGCAUGCUUUGCUCUCUUUUCUUUCUUGUAGGUAUGCCACGCUAUACUCUUCCUUUCCAUCCCUGUUAACAUUUGCAACCGUCAAGGUAAAGAAAUUCAUAUCGUAUAUUUUCUUCCUUACAAGCCCUUUUCUCUUAGCUUUUUCACAUUUUCAUAUCUUAAUUUCAACGAAAAUGGCUCCUUAGAAGUCGCGAACCAUACGUUGAAAGUGGUGUUAUAUGAACUCUUCGUGCAGGGAGCGGGACACACGGCUCCAGAAUACAAGCCCGAGGAAUGUUUUGCGCUGAUUAGUAGGUGGUUCGAUUAUUUUUACAUUUAACUUGCGCUUGUAGCUCCCUUUUAGUUCAACUAUUUAUAUGAUAAAAAAAUUGUCGAUGUAAUAAUUUUUCGGUGCUCCGAUUUGGGAAUGAUGCUGAAAUGGAUAUCCUUGUCAUCUCUACGAAUUCCGGAUUUGAUUGAGCUCCCGAGACAUCUAACAUUGUGACACCUCAAAGAGUUUUUUCUUGCAGGAAUGUUGUUGAUGAGUGGUAACACCGCUCUCAAUAAGUAACUCAUGGAGAAUACAUACUUUACAUUUUUUUAAUACAUUGAUCUAUCUCAUAUCAUAUGCGUUCAAUACCUUGAUAGUCAAACUGUUUAAGAGGGGCCCCAAAGGCACCGUUGACAUGAUCCUCAAUAAGUAAUUGGGAGCAUCGCUCUAUUAUACACCUCUGUGACAGCCUGAAUUUUUAGAUUUCGUUUUCGAUUAAAUAAAUCGGGCAUUUUAUCGAUGCGCCAAUAGUGUUAUUCUCUGAGCUGAUCACUCAUGAGAUAACUGGACUAUCUGGGGAAAUAAUUAAGAAAUCUAAAUGCAAUUGGACUUGAGAAUUCGACCAAGAGUCGACUGCUCGACCGUGUUGGUUUGCAAGGGUCAUUACGGUACCGUCAGAGAUCGAUUAGAGAUUAGAGAUAGGUUGACUCGACUGAGAUAUGUGAUCAAAUUGUAUGUCAACUCAACUGAGAUAUGUGAUUAAAUUGUAGGUGAUUCCAUUUGGUUGCAAAAUUCUCAUCGAUCGGCACUAAAUUGAUUUUCUGUCGUUUUGAUACCUGGUGCCCGUAAUUGAAAUAUCGAGAUUUUUAUGAUAAUCGAAAGUCGCCAAUAUGUUAGAGAUGUACAUUGUGACUUGAGAUAAAUUUAUCAUGGGUCAAUUGCACCAAAAAUUCCGAAAAGUUAUCCGGUAGACUAAGUCACGCUAAAAGCGCGCUGGAUUAAAAAUAACUGCGAAUUUGAACUUGAUUUCAGAAAUUGAAAGUUAUGUGGUGUCACGAACUAUUUUAGAAACGUUGACUCAUCCUCUGAAGAUUUUUCAGAGAUUCUGAAAUUUUUACAGAAAAUUGUUUCGGACGUUGCAGAAAUUAGUGGAAAAAUUCAAAUGGGCCAAAUUAAAGGAAAUUUGAACUUGUAAGCUGAGCUAUUUGAUAAGGGGCACUUGUAGGAAUUCUACGGGCUUUUUCUUCAUUCAAAUUGGGACCUCAAUUUGGGAAAUUGAAGUUUAAUUUGAGCUAAAUUCGGAACUUAGGAUGAGGGGUGCAUUAUUUGCAUCAAAAUGGAUUUAUUUUGGAUUUAUGCUUGUUGGAAAGUAUUAUUGGACAAGUGGAUAAGUAUGAAGAAAAUUGGGGGGACAAGCAUUUAUGAAAAUUGGACCUUUCUCUUAAUUUUUCUACCCUUUCUACCCUUAUCCCUGCCGGUCUCCCUCUUUUCUAUAAACGACAUCGUCUCUCUCUCGGUUCGAUUCACUCGUACCAGCAUAUCUGGCAGAACUCCUCCCCAUCGUGACUCUUCUUCAUGUGCCUCUCCACGUGGCGUUGAAGCUGCUGCUAUCUGUUGCUCCACCAGCGAAGACUUCCCCGAAUUCCACCGAACGUCCAUCUUCCACCGAAAACAACCUAGCCCCUGCCAUGUCUUUGUGCGCUGCGCGUCCACAGCCCAGCCCUCCUUGGUCAACAGCCUCCAUCGAGUUGAAGCCCACGAAGACCGAAGCCAGCGAAGUCCACGUUUCACUGAGUCUUUGUUUCGUCCGCAAUGCCAGCGCCACACGUCUGAGUCUCCUCCAACAGCAACGCGCCUGCACCAUCUUUGGUCAACCAUCUCCACAGUUCUUCCUCUCCUGCGUGUCUUCAUUCCAACGGACCAUCAGCAUGUUGGCUUCUCCAGCUGCCGUGAAUUCUAGCAAAGUCAGCCCAUGGUUGGGCCCUCCUUUAGCCCACGUGAUAGCAGCUCCUUUGGGCCGUGUCUUCAGCCCAGCGAAGAAGUCAGGCCAGCCAUGUGAAUGUAAUCUUCAGCCCUUGAAGCCCAGCCACGACAGGCCCAAUUCUGUAGCCCAGUACUGCAGCCAGCCCACCUUCAGUUAGAUUUGAAGCCCAACCCAAGUUAAAAGCAAAUCUUAGAUUUGGGCUGUGAUUUGUUGGGCCGAUUUUAGGUCUAGUCCAAGCCCUCGGGUGUCGUCGUGAGCCUAGGUUCGGCCGUCGUCAUGUUGAACCGGUUUCCGCAAGUAACCGGUGAGUUUAUACUCUAAACACUACUUAGUAGGCUAAUAACGUUUAAUAGGUGUUUAGAUUUAUUUUAUUAGGAAUUAGGUGGUUAGUUAGAUCGAAUUAGAAAUUUAAUUAUUUAAUUGAGCAUGUUAAGUGGUUAGCAUGGUUUAGCUAAGGCAUAAAUAAAUUAUACUGUUUAUCUAGAAGGGUUCGGGAAUUUUCCGAGUCCGUAUUGGUAUUUAAUUUAAUAAUUUUGGCCUAGCUUAGUAUUUUUAGAAAUUGAAUUAAUUGAUUAAUUAAUUAAUUUUCGAAAUUAGUUAAUUAUUAAUUAUUUUUCCAAAAAUUAGGUCAGGAUAGCCGAUGACUGGAAUUUCGUACUGAUUGCAAUGGUGUGGUUAAAUUCUGAAAUUGAGUGUUAAAUUAUGCAAAUUGAGUGCUGAUUGGAUUUUUAGUAUUUAAUUCCAAAAAUUGUGAAUUUCCAAUAUUUAUUCAAAAAAUUGCGAAUGUAAGGUUUUGACACCGAAAAUAGUUUUUAGUAUUAUAUGAAAUAGUGGGAUUUCAAAAAAGAAGAAUAUCAAUUUUUAUGGGUCAAGUUGACCGUGUACCCACACACGAGUAAUUUCAUGUGAAUUUCUAAUACGAAGAAAAAGGUCAGGCUCACUAUUUUAAUUAAAGCAUUUGAGUGCAAUGCACGAUGCCCUGGGCCGUAUUUGAGUGAUCGUGUGAUGAUUGAGAGAAAUCUUCCCGGGCUGUUAAGUUGGACAUUAUCUCUAGUUGGGAUACCCCUGGACAACGGGAAGCCGGUCACAAUAGAUUUUGGACCCUAUACUCCUUCGAGAAAGUUGUCUAAAAGAGACAUGUUGUGCUCAAUGGGGUGAAACGAAGCCCAGCAAUGCCAAAAGACUGCCGAAUAAAGAGUAGGCCGUGCUAUAUGCCGAGAUCAAAACUAGAAACACAUGAUUAAUUAAGUGUGUCAUUUCAAUUAUUGGAGCUUAUUUGUUUCUCAUGUGCUCAUGUUGUUUGUGAUAUAAAUUGUAUUGACCUACAGGGCGAAUCUGAGACAAGAUAAGUCUCAUUGAUUGUGUGAUUGUGUGAUUAGGAUACUUCUUGGCAUAUUUCCCUCCUAAUCGGGGUUUAGAGCUUAAACCCGCUGAGAUUAUAUCUCACCCCAUUGUGGGACAACAUUUUCAGGGUCGUCGAGUGGAGGACCUGGAGCUGAGGGAGGUGAUCGGAAGCAUAGGUUAGUUAGGACCGCUUCUUUUUGGAAUGCUAGUUUUUUGUAGUCUUUUGACCAUAGACUUUUGAACAUGACUCGGUGUAUAUAUAAAAACAUGUUUGUUUGUGAUUCUAUUAUCCUGCUUUUCUAUUCCGAGAUGAUUAUUGUUAGGGGAUUUAUAAUCUGUUUCCGCAUGUGCAAUAAAACAAAAAGGGUCGGCGACUAGUCUUUGGAAGUCGCAAAAUUUUAUUGACCAAAGAGGGAUGGGUACACGCUCAGGGUUCGGGGCGUGACAACCUCCCUGGUCAUUGAAUGAUUGAUGGAAAUGCAGCCUGUAACGGCUCAACAAUGGAACUUUUUAAAAGGCUACUUAUUGCUAUUGGUUGUCUGUAAAAGAAAAAAAAAAUAGUGCUUUUUUUUUGGUUUCGCAUAAGAAAGUUUGGAGGGAUGUGGACCAUGUGUAGGCGUCUUCUAACUUGUGGGCUAGACCUUACAAUACCCACACACAAGUGUGUGAUUUUGGCACAAUUAUUAGGCACAGUUAGCCUUUUGUACACUCGUGGAUAAAAAGUAGCACUAACCGUCUAUUAAUUGUUAUUUUUUUUGUUUCGUGCUGCUAUUUUGCUAAUCUUUCUUAGUCAUGUCUCAACUUUGAAAAGUUGUAUUUGUUCAAUCGAUAUUUUUCAGAAGUUAUGAAAUUCAGAAUUAAAAAAAACUAUUUCGUUAUUAUUUUUAUUAUUUAUUACUAUUACAAUUUUUAUUCCAAAUUGUGAUAGGUCUUUCAAUGUAAUCUUAGAAUGUACCUGUUCACUUUGCAACCUUUCUUGUUCAUUAAGACCGAGACAAUACAACGGUUUUGGAAUCAAUGAAAAAGUCUGGUUGAAGUUUUUUUCCAUAAAAAUUAUAACUAUCUUUUCAAUUGUUUCCCUUGAGAGAUUAUGAAAAAAAUACUAGAAUUACUAUAUGAUAUUCUCGAUUGAGACUUUGUUUUAUCGUUGAGGAUUUUUGCCAAUGACCAUUAACAAUAUAGUGGGGCAAAUAAUUCCUUAAAGACAGUGUUAUCACGCUUCAAAGUUUGAUUUCAUUCUAUCCAAUCCAAAGCAUUUUGCCAACAAUUGCAAGGGAGGUCAAAUGUUUUGUUAACUACUUAAUGUCUUUUUUCUGAAGUUGGCGUCAAAUGCUUCAAUCCUCAUUUUCCCUUAUUCAAACUGGGGUUGGUGUACCUCCCCUUCAACGGUGAAGGUGAGAAGGGGCGAUGAUGAGCCCCUUCACGUUUUGCAGCUAAACAUAUGAUCCAUCCUCUAAUUCCAAAACUCGUAAUGGGAUUAGAAUAAAAGACACAGACAAAACUUUCACUUUCUAGCUCAUUACACUUCACGAGCGACCAAAAAUCCUGGACAAAUCUCGGUCGUUUAUCAAAUGACGCGAAAAUACCAUUUUACAUGGAUAAAUCUCGGGGUCCUUAUCGCAUGAGUCCAUUAAGCGGGGCAUGUCAUGACAUUGCAUUUUACGAGAAAUCUUUCCGUAGCCAUUUUUUGGGAAUUCAACUAGAAGCAGACCUACUAUAAAAGUGCAUUCAUAUUCAUGGAAAGGUAACAAGAAUUUGAUUCACUCCUCUGCUGGGGGACUUUCGCUGCAUCAGUUCCCAUCAUUAAAAUUGGUUAAUUUUUGCAGGUCGCAAAUAUUAUAUUCUUGGAUGAUCCUGUCGGAACCGGAUUCUCUAAAUGACAAAUGUUCAAUAUCCAAGAUAUUUAUAUUCAAGAUGUUUCAACGAACCAUUUAAAAAAAAUAUUUUUCUAAAAAUAAUUGUUUAUAUAAUACAAAAGAAUAAGUCAAUGAAUAUAUAUAUAUAUAUAUAUUUUAAUUAUCAACAACAAUUUAUAUCUCAAUAUUUUUUUGAUGAUGAAGUUGACUAUUUUUUUCUUGACAAUAUGAGCAAUCAUUUUUAGGAAAAAUAAAUCAUUACAUUUCCGUGAACCAAACACUCUCUUGAUUUUACUAUGAUAUUUUGCUGCUUGAGCUUUGAUUUAGUGGCUUACAUGGCUGCCCUUUGAGUAUCCGAGCAACCCCCUCAACUUAUGUGCAAUGCUCUUUUGAGCAUCAUAACUUUUUCUCCUAUCAUUUAAAUGUUAUAUAACUUUUGAAUCAAUCAGUUGAGUGCCAUAAUAUAUUCAAACCGUUCAUCACAGGUGCCAUGCCACUCCGGAUUUUUGGCAUUUAAGUGACGUUUAUUAUCAUUCUAUUUUUAUAAUUUUCAGUUGCCCAUGGUAAACCAAACAGGAGGGCAAGAAAGUGUGUGGUACCAAGAAUUAAUUCACCUUUUGUUAGUAGAGAAGUUGUAUUUGAUGAGUCCCAAAAACUAUUGGGCAAGAGUGAUUGUGUUAGUGUUUAUAUGGAUAGGGAGAUGUUCAAUUUAAGUUGGAGUUGAAACCAUAAACUCCUAAAGUUGAUGGUGCUAGCAUGUUAAUAAACACAAAUAGUGCUUAUAGAGAGGUAGAGCUUAUAGAACUAAUGGUUGUCGUAAUUGUUGGGUUUAACAAGGUGCAUGUUUGAUCUCUUGAUAGGUAUGCAUGCGAUGAUUUUGCUUUAUCUGAGGUUGAGGAAGUUGUGUAGGAAAAUCUUUGUGGAGAAGUUAAUAAAUGCAAGUGGAGUUGGGAUUCUAAUGAGGUCCAAGGUUAUGGCGAAGUUCAUGUAUAACUUGGAUUUCAAGGAUAUUGGUGGCGGUUGAGCCCAUAAGGGCCUAUGGGUGUGACGUCCCAGAUUUUCAGUCAUGUUUUUUAUUGAAUAAAUAUUUUAUUGACGCGUCUAUAGAGUUAUUCUUAGAGCUGAUUACUCUCGAGAUAACUGGACUAUUUGAGGAAGUCAUUAAGGAAUUUUAAUCCAAUAGACUUGAGAAUUCGACUGGGAAUUGAUUUCUCGACCGUGUCCAUCUUUAGAGGUCAUUACGGCACAGAUAUAAAUCAAUUCGAGAUCAGAGAUAGGUUGGUUUGACUAAGAUGUGUGGCUAAUCGUGAGUGACACCACUAAAUUAAAAAAUUCUCGUCAAUCAAUACUAGAUUGAUUUUCUUAUUGUUUUGGUAUCAUGUGUCCGUAUUUAGAUCAUCGGGAUUUUCAUGACAAUCGAGAGUCGCCAAUAAGUCGAGUAGGUUCAUAGUGGCUCGAAGAAAAUCAACCACGGGUCAUUUGCACUAAAAAUUUCUGAAAGUUACUCGGUAGCCUAAGUCACGCUAAUAACGCGUCGAAUGGAAAUUAACCGUGAAUUCGAGUCCGAUUUUAGAAAUUGAAAGUUCGGUUAUGUCACAAGCUAUUUUAGGAACGUCGAAUCACCCUCCAAAGAAUUUUCAGAGAUCCUGAGAUUUUUCACGGAAAAUCGAUUCGGAUGUUGCGAAAAAUUAGUAGAGAUUUAUAUGGGCUAAAUCGAUGGAAAUUAUGACUUCUAAUUUGAGCCUUUGAGUGCCAGGGAAUUACAGAAAAUUGCUCAUGAUUUUUCUUCAAAGGAAUUGGACCUCGAUUUGGAGAAUUGGUGAAGAAAAUUAAGAGUAUUUGAGUGAAAUUCGGAACUAAGGUCUUGGGGCUGUAUUUUGGCACCAUUUGAGCUAAUUGUGGAUUAAUUUGCAAGAAAAUAAUUAGGAGACCAAAGAGGGUAGGUGUGUGGGUUUUUGGGGGACACCAUAGGAUAAAAUGGAAGACUUCCUGGACCCAUUUCAUGAUGAAAAUUGAGAUAUCUUACUAGAUUUUUUGCCUCCCUCCUUCGGUCUUUCUCAUCAGUGCGUUCAUUCUCUUCGACCGUUCCAUUCUCCCCGCUUCUAUUUUUCAUUUCCUCUUUUCCCAUCUCCUUUGCACGCCAUAGCCCCACCGAGCGAAACCUCUGCCGCCAGCGGCUUUGUCUUCUUCCCAAUUUCCUCUCAGCCGAAGUUCUCCCAUAGAAGCUGCUCGUUUCUUCAGCUCCUCGCGGUCACGUCCCUCUCCGCACGUCCAAGCCCACCGAUGGCCGAAUCCCCAUGCCUAGUCAACGAAAGAGUCCAACAAAAAUCGGUUUGUUGACCUCCUAGCCCCACACGAAGCCGCCCAUCUCCACAAAGCCUUGCUGAACGAAGCCCCACGCUGCCCUGUGUUCAACCGAUCAACCUAGCAAUUCCACCGACUCUCUGCAGUCGCGCCAGCACGCCCAUGCUCCACCAAAUUUUGUCUCCUCAAGUCAACCCGCCAAGCAGAUUGUUGACUCCUCCACCGAAUCAAGCUGCAACUCCAUUUGGCUUCACAUUUAGCCGGCAGCCGCCACGAGCGAGGUAGCAGCCUUCAUCUUCGGCUUCUUCAAUCUAGCUCACCCAACGCCGCAUCUGCUUCUCUCACGCCAGUCCCCUUCGAUUGAAGCCGCGGCCCGUCAAUUCCAGCGAAGCCAAAGACAAGCCCAGCAGCUGUUUGGUCCAGUCCAUUUGAAACUCGACGAAUUCUGCCUUUGGAGCCCGUGAAUUUUGGCCUAGCCCAUCCGAAGUCAAGCCCUGCAGCAGCAAGCCCAUCUCAGCCCAUUUGAAGCCCAAGUCCACAAGUGCAGCCAUCUUCAGUUUUCGGCCCAACCUUAAGCAGCCCAAUCUUGAAGCCGCCCGCGAAGCAAGUCAGCUCAAGCUUAGGCCCAAGUUUGGUUCAAGCCCAGAAAUUUCUGCGGGCUUGCGAGGCUUGUAGGCCCCGCCCGAGUGUCUGUCGGCGCCGCCGAAAGUUCUUGUUUCGGCCGCUGUCACGUCGCCGUCGUGGUGAUCCAAUCCCCACUUUUAAUCAAGUGAGUAGUCUCACUAAUCCUUGCUUAGUAGACUAAUGAUUUUUAAGGGUUGAUUAGAUUUAAUUAAGUGCAAUUAUGCGGUUAGAUUAGAAUGGAUUAGUGAUUAUUAGUUAAUUGCACUGCAUAUUAGUUAGGUGGUUAGUGUACUUAACUAGAGAACUGUCUAUACUAUUUAUUGAAUGCAUCUCGGGAUUUUUCCCGACUCUUCUCGGGCUUCAAUUAGGCAUUAUAGGCCUAAAUUGAAUUUUUAGUAUUUAUUUAUUAAUUUUCGAAAUUAAUUAUUUAAUUAAUUAUUUUUCAGAAAUUAGGCAAGGAUAGUCGACGACCGAAAUUUCGUGUUGAUCGUCGUGGUGUAGUCCGUUUAAUUAUUUGAGCUCUACGUUGUGCUGAAUCGAAUUAAUUGUGUAAUUUGAGGAAUUAUUCCUAAUUGAUUGAAAUUGAGUGAAAUUGAAUGAUUGAUUGGUGGAUGACCAAGUAUAGUUAGUUAGCAUUGACAAUGCUUUGAUGAGUUGUAAAGUACAGAAAAUCGUGAGGCUAAAUUGAGAAUAAUCUUGGCUGAGAUCGAUUAGGUACGAGAUAUAGACAUACGUGGUUUGGUGAUAAGGAAAUCAUUGAUGAAAACGAUGCCUUAAAGAAUGCACGAGUGCUGUCUAUUACUUGCAUCAGUAUAGACAUACGUGGUUCGGUGAUAAGGAAAUUACUGGUGAAAACGGUGCUUUAAAGAACGCACGACUGCUGUCUAUUGCAUGCCUCAUUACAGACAUACGUGGUUCGGUGAUUAAAAAUAUCACUGGUGACAAUGGCGCCUUAAAGAACACAUGAGUGCUAUCUAGUACAUACGUCACCAUGGCGAAGAUGACGCUCGAGAGCAUUACUGUAGCUCUGUGACUGAGAGUGCAAAUGAGAGGUUUUAUAUUGAGAAAUGAUUUGACCUGGAAAUGGUCCGACUGACAUGUAAUUGAUUGAUUGAGUGGAAGUGACCUUGAAUGGUCCGAUUGAUAUGUAAUAGACUAGGUUGAUUGAUCGAGAUAUCGAUCUGUGAUGUGAUUGCUAAGGUGCCUAUUGAAUUGUGCUAAUAUGCAGGUGGAAUCUAAGGCCAAGGUAAGUCUUCUAACCCGUGCAUGUAUAGGCAGCCCGGUUAGCAUAUUGGUUUCCUAAUCGAGUCUUAGUGUGGUAAAACUUGUUGAGACGUAGUCUCAUCUCAGUUGUGAGACAACAUUUCAGGACCCUGAUGAGGAGCCUAAGGAGAAAGAGAUCGAAGAGGAGUAACUAGAGGAGAACCUCGAUGAUGAUCCGAGUACGACCCGGAUCCCAUCAUCUUGUGAACCCUGUUCGUAGAUGGUUGAGUGUGAGAUUAGACCUUUGUGAAUAGUAUGGUAAAUUACUUUGAGGUGUGGUUGUAUACAAGUUUGGUUGUGAAAUCGUUUGGAGCACGGGAUAUGAAUCCGACCAAGCGUUUUACUGCGUCGAUGAGCAAACUGUGUGGGGUUGUUAAUCGCGGACAUGCACAAUGAGCAUUAGAAUAGAAGCAGCAAGGAGAUCUUCCCAAAUUCUCAAAAAAAAAUGAAAUUUCUUGGUGUUCCGUGGUCUGGCUAUUUUUUUUUCCAUCACUCUGGACUCUCUCGCAGACAGCGAUCUAGGCUCUCCUAGCAUUCCCUAGUGAACUUACUUUCUAUCUUGAAACAGGGUCGGCGAUGUAUUAAUUCUCUCUCUCUCUCCCUCUGUCUCUCUGUCUCUCUGUCAUAAAUUUACUAGAAGAUGUUAAAAUGUCCUAUGUCAUGUCCCGAAUUCCAUGAAGGUAGGGGUAAUGACAUAACCGUCCUUUCACCAAAAGAUAGGAUCUCAAACUAUACCUAAAAGUCAAGCUCCCAAAAGUGCUCUCAUAUUAUCAGUUGCUAAUUGAGGAACCCGAAAAAAUAAGGAACAAAAUGAGUGAACAAUCACAAUUUAGUAAGUGGUGCAUAUUUCUUCUAAACACAUUGAAUACCAACUAUGCACUUUACAAAACAAUGUUCAAAGCUAACUUAUCUUAAUCCUAGUAUAAUACACAUACAAUAAAAGAAUAAUUAUAUUGCUUUAACAUCUACAUAUCAGAAAACAUUUGUUUAAUCAAUAAUAUCAUAACAAACAACAAUGAUCUAAUCCAUUAAUCAAUCUUAUCAAUUCACAUAUCAAUGAUUUAAACCAUUGAUUAAUCUAAUCAAAUCACACAUCAAUGAUCAAUUUCAUCAACUAAUCUCAAAUUGCAUGUAAAUGGUCCAUUUCGUUGACCGAAUUCGUGCUCAAAUAUUAGCCAUGAUUAUGACAAGGAAACCAAACUCAUUUCUUGGCAAUGUCACCAGCUAUAUUGUCACUGUUUGGCCCAUUAGGAUAUAUUAAACUAACAUGCACAUACCCAUAAGCCCCACAAUGAGCUCAUACAUAUUAAGCACCAACACAAACUAGUAACCGGAUCCUUUACAAUUUGCAAGCAAAUUCGGAAUCAAAUUACAAAUGGUUUCACAAACCAAGCAUAUUAUCUUUCUCAUAGAAUACAUUUCACAAGGAGUAUAAAAGGAAGACGUUCCAGUUGUUCCUUUAAUAGCUCGAAUGAUCUUCCUAAUUGAUCCUGUCCAACGGGAGGAUUGGAAGAAUUCCUUUGGUAAGUGCCAAUGGGUAUGAUGACACAAAGGAGUAUAAAAGGAAGACGUUCCAGUUGUUUGAGGAAGUGCACGAGAGAAGAAUUCCAAAGUCUGAAGCUCUUUGUUUCUUAGUCAAUUCAUUUACUGAGUGAAAUCUUGUACGGAAAAGAGAGUCUAUAUUUUGAGAUACCUUGAGGAAGUGUGGUAGAGUAUCUACACUGUGGAAUCAAGGAAAAGUAUUGCUAUAACAUCUCUUUUGUUCAUAGUGAAAUCUAGCCAGUGGGCUGUCAGUGUAGAAGAAUGGACGUAGGCUUAAAAUAAGCCGAACCACUAUAAAUCUUGUGUUCAAUUCUCUCUUCCCUACUCUCUGCUUUACUUUGAUCAUAGUUCGAUUUGUUAACUAAAGGAGAGCUUCCUUUUUGUUGUUUGUCCAUUAUUGCUUUCAUAUCUCGAGAAAUUAUUUUUACACCUAUUCACCUCCCUCUAGGUGUUUAUACUAGCUAUAUCAAUUAGUAUUAGAGUUCGUGUACUCACUUUGUUUGAAGUGUUUUAUUUCAGAGUUAAAGAUCCAUGGUUAGUAUGCUAGUUCCAGGGCUGGUGGAAGGGCAAAGCAAUACCGGACCACCUUACUUUGAUGGAAAUGAUUACAACAUCUGGAAAAACAAGAUGAAAGCGUUUCUACGAUCAAAGGAUCCUAUGAAAUGGGACGUUGUAGAAAAAGAAAUCACUCCUAAAGCUGCAUCUGUCUCAGAGAGAGGAAAAGAAACUGUUGAGUCAAGUGAAAUGACUCAGGAAGAGAUAAUCAAGAGAUAGGCUCUUGAUGCAAAAGCAAUUUAUUCUUUAUAUUGUGCUUUAUCACCUACUGAAUAUAACAGAAUAUCUUCUUGUGUUACAGCUAAAGAAGUCUGAGAUAGAUUACACAUUACUUAUGAAGGAACUGAUCGAGUGAAAGAAACCAGAAUCAACAUUCUGCUCGGUCAAUAUGAAGCAUUCAAAAUGAAAUCUGGAGAAUCUAUUACAGACAUGUUUAGUCGUUUUACAGAGAUCGUGAAUGGCCUUGAAAAUCAAGGGCAACCAAUUUUUGAUCCCAUGAAAGUAAACAAGCUUCUGCGUGGACUCUCCAAGGAUUGGAAUCACAUAAAGACUUCAAUAAGAGAGACACAAAGAAUCAUGCUACUAUCUGUUGACGAGUUGGUCAGAACUCUUCAGUCUUAUGAAGAGGAACAAAUCAAUGAAGACGAAGAUCCUAAAGGUAAGAAAUCCAUUGUAUUAAAAUCCAAUAAUGAUUAUGAUGUCACAGAUUCUGAAGACAAUAUGGACGAUGAGGAGCUUGCUCUCAUGAUAAGAAGAUUCAAAAAACUGAACAAAAAAGGAAGAAGAUUCAAUCCAAAAAAACAGAGUUUUCAAAAGCAACAUACCAAGUCUGUUGAUGAUGAUGAAUCAAACAAAGAUGUAGUCUGCUUUGAAUGUAAGAAAAAGGGACACAUCGGACCCAACUGUUCUCUUCUGAGAAAGAAGAAAGGAAAAGCUGAAAAGUAUCGAAAGGCUUUUAAAGCAGAAACCUAGAGUGAUACAGAGUGUGAAGAAAGUGAUGAUGAUUAUGCCAAUAUAUGUCUAAUGGCACAAUCGGAUUCGGAUUCAAACUCCGAGACAGACUCAGAUUCAGACAGUGAAUUUGAGGUCACUAUCAAGAAAAAAGGUAAAAUGGUAUCUGGAUAGUGGAUGCUCAAGACAUAUGACAGGAGAUUCAAAUUGCUUCAUAAAGCUCGUUCAAGUAAAUGGUAGAAAAGUCUCAUUUGGAGGAAACAUUUGAGGAAAAAUUGUGGGAUUUGGAACUGUAAAGAUUGGAAACCUCACUAUAAGCAAUGUUUCCCUAGUGGAAGGACUCAACUACAAUCUGCUCAGUAUCAGUUAGCUGUGUGAUAUUGGUUUCAAAAUCAACUUUCAAGAGGGAAUAUGUUCAGGAACCAGUAAAGAUUCUACUCAGUCAUUCAUGGGCCGAAGACAUGGAAAUAUCUAUCUCUUGGAUGUGAAACUAGAUGAAUCGCAAUGUCUAAUCUCAAUUCAAGAUGAAGCGAACUUAUGGCACAGAAAGCUUGGGCACAUCAAUAUGAAGCAGAUAGCCAAAAUUUCAGCAAAGAAGCUUGUUCGUGGUCUACCCAAAUUAUCAUACUAAAAGUCUGAUCUAUGUACACCAUGCGUAUUGGGAAAUCAGGUAAGAAAUUCCUUUAAACCAAUAAAUCAAGUUUCCACUAAUCGUGUACUUCAGCUUCUGCAUAUGGAUCUCUUUGGACCAACCAGAACUCAGAGCAUUGGAGGUAAGAAAUAUUGCCUAGUAAUUGUGGAUGACUACUCACGAUUUACUUAGGUAUAUUUCCUAGCAAGUAAGUCUGAAACCUUCUCUUACUUUGAAAAGUUUGCUAAAAAGGUUCAAAAUGAAAAAGGGUAUGCUAUCUCGAGUAUAAGAACAGACCAUGGAGGUGAAUUUGAAAAUCAAGAUUUUACAAAAUUCUGUGAUGAAUCUGGUUUUCAGCAUGUAUUCUCCUCUCCAUAUACUCCAGAGCAAAAUGGAGUUGUGGAAAGAAAGAAUAGAUCGCUUCAAGAAAUGGCUAGAACUCUUUUAAUUGAAAGUAACAUCUCUUCACGAUUUUGGGCUGAAGCAGUUUCAACAGCAUGUUACAUUAUCAAUAGAGUUUUUCUAAAGCCUAUUAUGGAAAAAACCCUAUGAGUUAUUUAAAGGAAAGAAGCCUAUUGUUUAAUAUUUUCAUGUGUUCGGAUGCAAAUGCUUUAUAUUGAAAAAUGCAAAUGAUAGAGUUGGUAAGUUUGAAGAAAAAUCAAACGGAGGCAUCUUCCUUAGAUAUUCUACCUCAAACAAAGCCUACCGUCUAUAACAAGAAGAGUCAAUCUGUGGAGGAAUCAAUGAAUGUCAAAUUCCAGGAUUCUAUGCAAAAUGAAUUUGCUUAGACUCAUCUUGAAGAAUCUGAACCUGCUCCAGACUUUACAAAGUUUAAAUCUCAAGAAGCAACUCAGACUUUAAAAGACCAGCAACAAAUGGUUAUUGAAGAUUCAAAUGAAGGAAGUGCUCAUCAACCUGACAAAUCAACCAGUAACUGGAAGCAUAAGUCCAGUCAUCCCAAAGACCUCAUUAUUGGCGACAUUAAUGAAGAAAUUCGCACAAGAUCCAAAAGGCGCGAAGAGUCUAGUGCUGUGGCUCUUAUUUCUGAAAUAGAACCAAAAAGCAUAGAAGAAGCUUUAUCUGAUGAAAGCUGGAUUGAAGUUAUGUAAGAAGAACUCAGACAAUUCAGUAUUAAUGAUGUCUGGGAGUUGACUCAUAAACCAAAAGGUAAAUCUAUUAUUGGAGCUAAUUGGGUUUUCAGGAACAAGAUGAACGAAAAAGGAAAAGUCGUAAGAAACAAAGCAAGACUCGUGGCCAAUGGAUAUACGCAAGAAGAAGGGAUAGACUAUGACGAGACUUAUGCACUAGUAGCAAAGUUAGAAGCAAUUCGAUUAUUACUUGCUUUUGCUUGUUACAAGAAUUUCAGGUUAUUCCAAAUGGACGUCAAGAGUGCUUUCCUGAAUGAUUUAUCCAUGAGGAAGUCUAUGUGGAACAACCACCUGGGUUUGAAGACCCAAGGAAGCCAGACUCAGUAUUCAGACUGAAAAAAGCCUUGUAUGGUUUAAAGCAAGCACCUCGAGCUUGGUACGACAAGCUGAGUAAGUUUUUAAUUCAAAAUGGCUUUGAAAAAGGUAAAGUAGACACUACUCUGUUUAUCAAAAGAGAAAACAAAAGUUUUUUGCUUGUUCAAAUAUAUGUUGAUGAUAUCAUUUUUGGAUCCUCUAAUGAAAGUUUGUGCAAGAAAUUCUCUAAGUCUAUGCAGGAUGAAUUUGAAAUGAGCAUGAUGGGUGAACUAACAUUCUUUCUUGGACUUCAAGUGAAACAAUUGAAGCAAGGGACUUUUAUUCAUCAAGAAAAAUAUGCUAAUGAUCUUGUCAAAAAGUUUGGACUGGAAAAUUGCAAAAAGAUUGACAUACCAAUGUCAAGUUCCUUGAAGAUAGAGAAAGAUGAAGGAGGAAAGAAAGUUGACCAGAAGCUAUACAGGAGUAUCAUCGGUUCACUUCUUUAUCUUACUGUUUCUAGACCUGACAUUUUGUUCAGUGUUUGCAUUUGUGCUAGAUUUCAAGCAGACCCUAAAGAAUCUCAUCUAAGUGCUGCAAAGCGUAUUAUCAAAUACAUUGCUUCAACUUCAAGCAUCGGCCUUUGGUAUCCUAAAAAGGGAGACUUUACUCUUCUUGGAUACUCAGACACAGAUUUAGCCGGUUGCAGAGUUGAUAGAAAGAGCACCUCGGGUACCUGUUGGUUACUUGGAAGCAGGACAGUGUCUUGGUUUUCAAGAAAGCAAAAUAUAGUAGCUCUUUCUACAGUAGAGGCAGAGUAUGUAGUUCUCGGAAGUUGUUGUUCACAAAUACUAUGGAUAAAACAAUAGCUAAGAGACUUUGGAAUUGAAGAUUCAUGAACGGAGAUUAAUUGUGACAACACUAGUGCAAUCAAUCUUACCAAGAAUCCAAUUCUUCACUCAAGAGCAAAGCAUAUAGAGAUUCGACAUCACUUCAUUAGAGAUCAUGUUCAAAAUGAAGAAGUUUCGAUUCAGUUUGUUGACUCAAAGAACCAAUUGGCGGUUAUAUUUACGAAGUCUUUGGAGAAAAAUCAAUUUGAAAUCAUCCGUUCCAGACUCAACAUCUUGAAGCUUGAAGAAGUUAAAGUCUAGAGACUUUCAGUCUCAGACAAUCAUGGUUCUUGACUGUAAGUUAUUUUAUUUUCUCUUAAAUCUCGUAAAGGUACGAUCUUUUAUCCAUAUAUAAAUGAUUUAUACUAUUGUCAAUUUCCGUGAAAAGUGCAAUUUUUCCUUUUCAAAAAGAGUUAAUGGCAGUUAUCCAUUUUUUGAAAAAGGCAGUUAUUUUUUAAAAAUGUAUCUUUUAACAUUCCUUUACGACGUUUGCAUUUCCCUGUUUCAACUAAGCUAUAUACAGUCGGUUCCUCUUCACUUAACUCCAAAACCCUAAAAAGAACCGAUCUUCUAUUCAUGUCUUCCUCCCUUGUUUAAUCUUCAAAAAGUUGUCAUCUUUCUUGGGAAAGUCAAGCAAGGAAUCUUUCAAAGACUGAGAAAGAUGUCAUCUUCAAGAAAGUCUUCGAGGAUUGCAAGCAGGGGACCACGGCGAAUGAGUGAGGGGCCUACUCACUUUGAUCUCACCGAGGAAGAGGAGUCACCAAGUUAGCAGCAGAGCCCACAACAUUCUCAGCAGCGUCAUUCUCCACCAUCUAGUCCACAGGAUGUUGGUCAUCAACAAGAGGAAGAAAUCAUCAAAGACACAGAUCCUGUAAGAGUUCAAAGGACCUCUUUUAUUUAUAAACUUUACCGUGCUUUAUAGAGGAUUGGUACACCAUUGAACUACAUCGAUGAGUUUCUUAAGGACAAGGGAUAUGGGAAUGAGUACAUCUUUUUGCGAAAAAUGGAGCGUUUGGGAAUUGCUCCUAAAGGGUUGGUAGAAGAAACCCUUGCAAAUAUCCCAAGUGAUCCGCAUGUUGGGGGAUUUAAUUCGAUAGAUGGAAAUGAUGAUGACAGAUUGUACAACCAAUUUCAACCAAGAAUGGGUAUUGCGGCAAAAAUUCGAGGAAAAAGAACAGAGUUGUUUAGCUCGAAGGAACAGAAGGAUCUAUACUCCAAAUUGUUGAAGCGUGGGGUGAUAAACCCUAGGAGUGUAGAUUUUGAUUUCCUUGAUGCUGUGAAUGUAAAUUUGAGGGAAAAGUUCAGUUUUCUUCAACUUGAAUAGUUUUGUUCUGACACCACAGAAGCCUAUGCUCAAUUAACUGCAUAUUUCUAUUCAAAUCUUAGUUUCUUGGAUGCGAAUAGAAUCUCUUUCAGUGUCCGAGAUCAGGACUUUGUGGUGGAUGUGGAUAUUCUGGCGGAUGUGAUUAGGGUUGAGAGAGGGAGAUAUCAACCCAUCAGUGUCUCUAUAGCUCGUGCCACAUUGGAAUUUGUUAAAGACAGAAGGACAGAGGGAAGGAUUUCCUACUCAAGGAUGUGUGCGUUCAACAUUUUGCUUCACAAGAUUGUGAUUAAUUGCCUCAGACCGAAAUCAAUUUCCAAGACUGAUGUUUCUAACUCAGAGGCAAAGCUGAUGUACGCCAUCAAUGCUAGGAAAAAGUUUUCUCUUCCUCACACUAUACUGUUCCACAUGUAUAGAGCAGUGGUGAAGGACAAGGGCCAACUUCCUUAUCCAGGUCUUGUGUCAAAGAUAUUCAGACAUUUGAAUAUUCAACCUCCACAAAUUCUAUGUGUUCGACCGUGUGACAAAAUGGUGGUAGGACUGAAAAUGGUGUCCAAAAUGUGUCUGAAAGAACUCAACAAGGCGUUGGAGAAAUUUAAAGAGAAAACUCUUGUCAAAUCUCAUCAAGUCUCUUCUGCAGCGAAAAGAAAAGGGAAGGAGCCCAUGGUUACUCCAUCCAAAAAGAGAAAAGCUCUCAUUACUGAUGAAGAUGAUGAGGAUGACCUCACAAUUUCUGCUAUAGCAUUAAAGAAUCUGAGUCGUUCUGUUCCUGAAUCAAUGGAAUGAUAGGAGAAAGAAGCAGAGGAGAGAGAAUAACAGGAGAAAGAAGAAGAAGAGAGAGAAGCAGAGGAGAAGGAAGAAAAGGAGAAAGAAGCUGAAGAAAAAGAAGCAGAGGAGGAAAGGUUUGAAGAAGAAGAAGAAAGAUAAAAUCAAGAGGAAUGAGAGCAUGAGGAAAACUCUUCUACACCUGAAGCCAUGGAAACAGGGGAAGAUGGUGAGAACAAAGGAAUGUCCUCAUAUCCUGUUGUCAGUGAAGGAGUCAGCCGUUCUCAAGCAGAUCCAGAGGACAUCCAUGCCUCUCAAUUUCCUGAGGAGGAACAUGAUGCUUCAUCGCCACAUCGCCAAAUCUGCGUGAUUAUGCUGAAACCAGUACGCAGACUGAUAACUCAGCAGAUUUUCGCAGAAUCAUUAAUGUUCUUUUGGAAAUGCAGGGUCAGAUAUAUGCUUUGGAAUGUGAAGUUCAGAACUUGAAAAAUGCAGGACAAGCUUCUUCCGUUUCUUUAUCUGAUUAGAUCCAAGCCCUUGCUCUUCAGAUUCAAGCCAAUGCUAAAGGAGAAGAGGUGGAUCAACUGAAGGAAGAAUUGAAAAAGCUGGAAGGCAUCAUCCAGUCAAUUGGAGAUUUCCAGCUUGUUUGCAUUCCCAAGUAGACUUGACUCCAUUCUAUUCCCAUCUCAACCUUUUUUUAUGAUGACAAAAAGGGGGAGAGAUGCGAGAUUUGAAAUCUUUGAACUUUGAACUUAAACUUGUUAAAUUUUUUUUUUGUUUUGAUGUUUGACUUGUAUGUCCAUGUCUGGAUGUAGACUGACUGAAAGUGGAUUUGGAUUUGACUGCUGCUUAUAUUAAGUACUAUUGAUAUCUUAUGAAUGGCUUUACUCUUAUGCUAGACUAACCUAUUUUUUUGUGAUUGCAGAUUCUAGUGUUAUCAUUAAGCCAUUAAUCUUUAUGAGAUAUCCAUAUUUGCUUGAGUAAUGUUUUGCAGGUCAAAGUUAUUCAAAUCUGCAGAAAAGUUUUGUCACCAUCAAAAAGGGGGAGAUUGUUAGAGAAAUCCUUCUGAAAUAUUUUGAAGCUGACAGAACGUUUCUAUCAGUCUAGUAUGAAGAUUUGCAGACUCUAUUAUUAAAGUCUGAAGACCUCUGGACUGCCAGACUCAAUACUCAAAGUCUAUUCUCAUUGACAGUUUCUAAUCCGUUGAAGAAAGGCUCAGUGCUUCAUUAAGGAUUUGGCUUUAUCGACUGGAGUAGAUCUCUUGGCUUGAUAUGACAUAACAUAUUCCUUUAUUCAAAUCAAGAAUGAUUAAGAUCCGAUGAUUGGUGAAGUAUUCUUGGAAGGUUCUACUUAUGGAAACCAAGAUACUGAUUGUAUGGGCAUCAACAUGUUCCUUUAAUAGCUCGAAUAAUCUUCUUAAUUGAUUCUGUCCAACGGGAGGAUUGGAAGAAUUCAUUUGGUAAGUGGCAAUGGGUAUGAUGGCACAAAUGAGUAUAAAAGGAAGACGUUCCAGUUGUUCGAGGAAGUGCACGAGAGAAGAAUUCCAAAGUCUGAAGCUUUUUGAUUCUUAGUCAAUUCAUUUACUGAGCGAAAUCUUGUACGCAAAAGAGAGUCUAUAUUUUGAGAUACCUUGAGGAAGUGUGGUAGAGUAUCUACACUGUGGAAUCAAGGAAAAUCAUUGCUGUAACAUCUCUUUUGUUCAUAGUGAAAUCCAGCCAGUGGGCUGUCAGUGCAGAAGAGUGGACGUAGGCUUAGAAUAAGCCGAACCACUAUAAACCUUGUGUUCAAUUCUCUCUUCCCUUCUCUUUGCUUUACUUUGAUCAUAGUUCGAUUUGUUAACUAAAGGAGAGCUUCCAUACUGUUGUUUAUCCAGUAUUGCUUUCAUAUCUCGAGAAAUUAUUUUUACACCUAUUCAACCCCCUCUAGGUGCUUAUACUAGCUAUAUCACCUAAAACUAUUGGGCAAGAGUGAUUGUGUUAGUGUUUAUAUGGAUAGAGAGAUGUUCAAUUUAAGUUGGAGUUGAAACUAGAAACUCCUAAAGUUGAUGGUGUUAGCAUGUUAAUAAACACAAAUAGUGCUUAUAGAGAGGUAGAGCUUAUAGAACUGAUGGUUGCUAUAAUUGUUGGGUUUAACAAGGUGCAUGUUUGAUCUCUUGAUAGGUAUGCAUGCGAUGAUUUUGCUUUAUCUGCAGUUUAGGAAGUUGUGUAGGAAAAUCUUUGUGGAGAAGUUAAUAAAUGCAAGUGGAGUUGGGAUUCUAAUGAGGUCCAAGGUUAUGGCGAAGUUCAUGUGUAACUUGGAUUUCAAGGAUAUUGGUGGGGGUUGAGCCCAUAAGGAUCUAUGGGUGUGACAUCCCAAAUUUUCAGUCAUGUUUUCUAUUGAAUAAAUCAGGCAUUUUAUUGACGCGUCUAGAGAGUUGUUCUCAGAGUUGAUCACCCUCGAGAUAAUUGGACCAUAUGAGGAAAUCAUUAAGGAAUUUUAAUGCAAUAGACUUGAGAAUUUGACUAAGAAUCGAUUUCUCGAUCGUGUCCAUCUUUAGAGAUCAUUAUGGCACAGAUAUUAAUCAAUUCGAGAUCAGAGAUAUGUUGGUUUGACUAAGAUAUAUGGCAAAUAGUGGGUGACACCACUAAAUUUAAAAAUUCUCGUCAAUCAAUACUAGAUUGAUUUUCUUAUUGUUUUGGUACCAUGUGUCCGUAUUUAGAUCAUCGGGAUUUUCACGACAAUCGAGAGUCGCCAAUAAGUUAAGUAGGUUCAUAGUGGCUCGAAGAAAAUCGACCACGGGUCAUUUGUACUAAAAUUUUUUGAAAGUUACCUAGUAGCCUAAGCCACGCUAAUAACGCGUUGAAUGGAAAUUAACCGUGAAUUCAAGUUUGAUUUCAAAAAUUGAAAGUUCGGUCAUGUCACGAGCUAUUUUAGGAACGUCGACUCACCCUUUGAAGAAUUUUCAGAGAUCCCGAGAUUUUCACUGAAAAUCUAUUCAGAUGUUGCGGAAAAUUAGUAGAGAUUCAUAUGGGCUAAAUCAAUGGAAAUUAUGACUUCUAAGCUGAGCCUUUGAGUGCCAGGGACCUACAGGAAAUUGCUCAUGAUUUUUCUUCAAAGGGAUUGGACCUCGAUUUGGAGAAUUGGUGAAGAAAAUUAAGAGUAUUUGAGUGAAAUUCGGAACUAAGGUCUUGGGGCUGUAUUUUGGCACCAUUUGAGCUAAUUGUGGAUUGAUUUGCAAGAAAAUAAUUGGGAGACCAAAGAGGGUAGGUGUGUGGGUUUUUGGGGGACACCAUAGGAUAAGAUGGAAGACUUCCUGGACCCAUUUCAUGAUGAAAAUUGAGAUAUCUUACUAGAUUUUUUGCCUCUCUCCUUCGAUCUUUCUCAUCAGUGCGUUCAUUCUCUUCGACCGUUCCAUUCUCCCACGCUUCUAUUUUUCAUUUCCUCUUUUCCCAUCUCCUUUGCACGCCAUAGCCCCACCGAGCGAAACCUCCGCCGCUGGCAGCUUUGUCUUCUUCCCAAUUUCCUCUCAGCUGAAGUUCUCCCACGGAAGCUGCUUGUUUCUUCAGCUCCUCGCGGUCACGUCCCUCUCCGCGCGUCCAAGCCCACCGAUGGCCGAAUCCCCAUGCCUAGUCAACGAAAGAGUCCAACAAAAAUCGGUUUGUUGACCUCCUAGCCCCACACGAAGCCGCCCAUCUCCACGAAGCCUUGCUGAACAAAGCCCCACGCUGCCCUGUGUUCAACCGAUCAACCUAGCAAUUCCACCGACUCUCUGCAGUCGCGCCAGCACGCCCACGCUCCACCAAAUUUUGUCUCCUCAAGUCAACCCGCCAAGCAGAUUGUUGACUCCUCCACCGAAUCAAGCUGCAACUCCAUUCGGCUUCACGUUUAGCCGGCAGCCGCCACGAGCGAGGUAGCAGCCUUCAUCUUCGGCUUCUUCAAUCCAGCUCACCCAACGCCGCAGCUGCUUCUCUCACGCUAGUCCCCUUCGAUUGAAGCCGCGGCCCGUGAAUUCCAAUGAAGCCAAAGACAAGCCCAGCAGCUAUUUGGUCCAGUCCAUUUGAAACCUGACGAAUUCUGGCUUUGGAGCCCGUGAAUUUUGGCCUAGUCAAUCCGAAGUCAAGCCCUGCAGCAGCAAGCCCAUCUCAGCCCAUUUGAAGCCCAAGUCCACAAGUGCAGCCAUCUUCAGUUUUCGGCCCAACCUUAAGUAGCCCAAUCUUGAAGCCCAAGCCCGCGAAGCAAGUCAGUCCAAGCUCAGGCCCAAGUUUGGUUCAAGCCCAGAAAUUUUUGCGGGCUUGCGAGGCUUGUAGGCCCGGCCCGAGUGUCCGUCGAUGCCGCCGAAAGUUCUUGGUUCGGCCGCCGUUGCGGUGAUCCGGUCCCCACUUUUAAUCAAGUGAGUAAUGUCACUAAUCCUUGCUUAGUAGACUAAUGAUGCUUAAGGGUUAAUUAGAUUUAGUUAAGUGUAAUUAGGUGGUUAGAUUAGAAUGUAUUAGUGAUUAUUAGUUAAUUGCACUGUAUAUUAGUUAGGUGGUUAGUGUACUUAACUAGAGAACUGUCUAUACUAUUUAUUGAAUGCAUCUCGGGAUUUUUCCUGACUUUUCUCGAGCUUCAAUUAGGCAUUACGGGCCUAAAUUUGAUUUUUAGAAUUUAUUUAUUAAUUUUUGAAAUUAAUUAUUUAAUUAUUUAUUUUUCGAAAAUUACGCAAGGAUAGCUAACGACCGAAAUUUCGUGCUAAUCGUCGUGGUGCAGUCCGUUUAAUUAUUUGAGCUCUACGUUGUGCUGAAUCGAAUUAAUUGUGUAAUUUGAGGAAUUAUUCCUUAAUUGAUUGAAAUUGAGUGAAAUUGAAUGAUUGAUUGGUGGAUGACCAAGUAUAGUUAGUUAGCAUUGACAAUGCUUUGAUGAGUUGUAAAGUAGAGAAAAUCGUGAGGCUGAACUGAGAAUAAUCUUAGCUGAGAUCGAUUAGGUACGAGGUAUAGACAUACGUGGUUCGGUGAUAAGGAAAUCACUGAUGAAAAUAGCGCCUUAAAGAACGCACGAGUGCUGUCUAUUACUUGCAUCAGUAUAGGUAUAUGUGGUUCGGUGAUAAGGAAAUCACUGGUGAAAACGACGCUUUAAAGAAGGCACGACUGUUGUCUACUGCAUGCCUCAUUACGGACAUAUGUGGUUCGGUGAUUAAGAAUAUCACUGGUGAAAACGAUGCCUUAAAGAACACAUGAGUGGUGUCCAGUACAUAUGUCACCUUGGUAAAAACAAUGCCCAAGAGCAUUUACUAUAGCUUUGUGACUGAGAGUGCAAAUGGGAGGUUUUAUAUUGAGAAAUGAUUUAACCUGGAAAUGGUCCGACUGACAUGUAAUCGACAAGGUCGAUUGAUCAAUGAUUUGAUCCGUUGUCAUGAAUUGAUUGAUUGAGUGUCACGACCCGAACCCCGGGCACAUGCACAUCCCUCAAUGGUCGAUUUUAAAUUUGCAACAUCCCAGGAAUUGUUGCCGACCCAUUCAUUUAUUUUGCACAUGCGGAAACGUAAAACAAUCUCCAUACAACAAAACAGUGGGAUAGAAACGUAGGAUAUUAUUUUUCACAAACCACAACUACAACAUCACAGUACUUAUACAUAUAGACUAGUUUAAUACCCCAAGAUCUGAUACAAAAAAAGUGAAGCUGUUUGAUUACCUACUAACUAAGCUUCUAUCUAUAAGACUGGGGUUUACUAUUACAAUACCAUAUUUCUCAAUAUCUCGGGGGUGAGCUGUCACCCUACAUCCAGUCUUGACGGAAAACCCGUCAUCACUUGGAAGGAGAUAACGAGAGUCCUAUUCCUCCUUUACUGCAACCGACUGUACACGACCUAGCCUUCCUCCAUUUAGGGACCUGAAAAAUGUUAGCCCACUAAGGGGUGAGAUCACAUCUCAGCGAGUAAAUCUCCUAAUUCCAGAUUAGGUGAAGGGUACAUCCAGCAUGCAAUCUAAUCACAUUUCUUACCACUCUUUUAACACCAGCAAGUUCCUGCAUAUUAGCAUCAAAUAAAAUAUUCCUAAUAGUGUCAAGUUCACACAUCACAGGAAUACUUUAGCAUAAGCAUAUGCAAUGGCGUGAAUAUCCAUGUAAGCAUACAGGCCACAGUCAAUGCAACAGAUAACAAUCUUCCGGUAAAAUCGGGCAUCUCGUGUGUCACAAAUGAUGUCAAUGCUCAGAUAACAGUCUUCCGGUAUAACCGGGCAUCGCCUCGCACCGUCGAGCGCGGCAUCGUCUACAUCUAGACGGCAUUCCAUAUAGGAGCAUCGGUCCAGCCUCCACUGCGACCGGCAUCCGUUGACGUGGGGCAUUCCCGAAGGAGCAUCGUCCGGCCCAAAGGCACGUGACGGAAUCAUGUCGUGAAUGCAUAUGAUCGAUGUCACAUUUCAAUAAUAAAUUAUAUACAGCAUCCAUAGCAUCAAUUGAUCAAUUUCGUAGCAAGAAUACUUCAAAACAACCAUACAUUCUUACUAGCCCAAAUUCACAGAAAACUGUCCAAUUACGUUCUUCCAAAUUCGAAGUCAGAAACCCACUCAUAUGAACUCGAAAAAUUCUCAAAUUUGGACACGUGUUAGAAAACAUAAAAAGGAACAUUUUUCAUGAAGACGCCAAGAUCCAAAUAUCUCUGGAUUCGGCCCAGAAAUUCUUUCUAUCCAGCACAAAAAUCGGAUCCAGUUCCAGAGAGCCAAACCCAUCGAAAUCAGUUUGUUUUUGGGUCGAAACAUGCUUCGUUUGACUUGAAAUUUAAUUAUGUUAAACUAAAAGUUAUAAAAAACAACUUUCAUGAAGGAACCAAUUGGAAAUUCGACCUCUAAAAGUCAUUAACAGCCCUCGGAAUUAUAAUAAGUCACGGAUUUCAAAACUGUCCGAUUACUGUUCCGAGGAUGACGUCAUUAAAAUCGUCAUCUUUUUAGUUUCUAAAAAUUAAGAGAAAAAUAUAUGUUAUUAUUUAAGAUGUUCACAACGUUUCUUCAGAACAAAAUCAUUUCAAAAUCGUAACACAAAGUUGUCUACAAAAUUAGCAAAACACACAUGUUCUAGAAACUGUUUCAGUAAUUAACUACUGUUCUAGUCCGAAUCUUCCACCACGACUUUUGUUUUGCUCUCUAAACCUUAUCUAUGCUUUUCUAUGUCUAUCAUAACAUCCCUAACAAACAUCUAUCCAUAUAUAACGUCAUCUACAUAAUUUUAACUUGUACAAAUUCCUAAUAGAGGUACUCAACCCCUAGUCCAAAUUUAGAAGACAACUCACCUAAUCACAGCUAACGGCGGCUCUCGUUGGUGCUUGAACAGCAACACAGAGAUCAGCCUUGAUCCUCUUGGUGAUAGUGUUGAGCCGAAACCGCAGAAGAUUGUGAAGUGGUAUGAUGGCAACGGCAACACACAAACUUAUAAAGUUUUUGGUAGAGGAAACUAAGUAUGGAGUUUGGUCGGUUGUGUGGUUCUUGUGCGGGUGAGGGGGGUUUUUCCUCACUGAAACUAUACGACUUAUAUUUAAAAACCAUGGUGGUAGGCGGUUGUCGUUUAUGUGGGUCCAAGAAUUUUUGGUAACGUCACGUUCACGUCUUGGUUUGUUUUGUUUCUUAGUCUCCGGUUUGUCGUUCAAGAGGAAGCAAAAAUGGAAGUAGCACGUUCAAGGGAAAAGAAAACAACGGCUUGUACGUUGAAAAAGACAAGGAAGAAGAAUAAACUAAGAGAAAGAAAGGGAAAGAUGGAAACUGCCGUGUAAAAUACAGCAGGCAGACUUACAGCAAACAGACUUCUAUGCGUAAGAAAAAGGAUGGGGAAGGAGAGUGUAAAUUGAUGGGAAGUUUCAUUGAAGUUUCCUUCAGCCUUUUGCCUAAUUUUCCAUGGAAACUUUGGCCACCCAUCACCCUCAUAGGCCCCACCAAGUUUCCAACAUUGUUUCUUCUAGAGGAGAUGAAAGAAAAGGUUGGAAAUCUACGUAAAUUGCUUAAUCCGAAUUUUGAAGUGAUUCUCAUAGUCUUUUCCCAUGGAGAAUGAGUUCCUUUCCUUAUCAAGUGAUCCCCCUAUCUUUUCCAAGUCAAUUUCCAUUAAAUACCAAGGAAAUUGAGGUGAGGUUGUAGGAGAGAGGGAUUCCUACGAAUUUCUUUUUCUUUGAGAAGACUUCUCUUCUUUAUUUAAUUACCAAUCUAACAUCCCAUUCAAUAGGGUCAAGUCCUUUAGUAACCAAUUAUAAUACCUCUUAAAUUGUUUCACAAUAGAGGUCUUAAAAUCCUACUUAAAAUGUGGUAAUUCCCUUGCUCUUCUAAUUUGCUGAUCUUGCAUAUUUCGUGAACAAUUCUCAUCAUCCAUAAAUUUUGAGAAGACGCAACCAUGUCCUUGGGAUGAAUUGUGACACGUGACAAUUCUUAAUUUCUGUAAUCGACAUCAUUUCAUCGGUUAAUUUCAGUCAAGAUGUGAUUUUUAGCACAACUUAAACUAUCGGUUAGUUUUUGAGAACUUUUGGUGCACUGACCCGUGGUUGAUUAUUCCCGAGCCACGAUAUAUAUUUUCGACGCAUUAGCAACUUUCGAUUGUCGUGAAAAAUCUCGAGGUUUCAAUUACGAGCACAGGGUACCAAAACAACAGAAAAAUCGGUUUAGUGCCGAUCGACGAGAAAUUGGUAAUUAGUUGGAAUCACCCAAUCCUAAUUUUAUUUCUAUCGAAUCGAUCUAUUUUCGAUUUCUGAUAGAUUUUCGACUGUGCCGAACUGAUCCUUGUAGACUAACACGGUCGAGCAGUCGAUUCAUGGUCGAAUUUUCAAGUCUGUUGCAUCAAAAUUCUUUAAUAACUUUCCCGAUUAGUCAAGUUAUCUCAUGAGUGAUCAGCUCAGAGAAUAGCGCUAUAGGCACGUCGACGAAAAGCCCGAAUUAUUUAAUUGAAGACAGAAGCGAAAAAUCAGACUGUCACAUUGAGUGGAAGUGACCUUGAAUGGUCCGAUUGACAUGUAAUCGACUAGGUCGAUUGAUCAAGAUAUUGAUCUGUGAUGUGAUUGCUAAGGUGCCUAUUGAAUUGUGCUAAUAUGCAGGUGGAAUCUGAGGCCAAGGUAAGUCUUCUAACCCGUGCGUGUAUAGGCAGCCCGGUUAGCAUAUUGGUUUCCUAAUCGAGUAUUAGUGAGGUAAAACUUGCUGAGACGUAGUCUCAUCUCGGUUGUGGGACAACAUUUCAGGACCCUGAUGAGGAGCCUAAGGAGAAAGAGAUUGAAGAGGAGUAACUAGAGGAGAAUCCCGAUGAUGAUCCGAGUAUGACUGGGAUCCCAUCAUCUUUGUGAACCCUGUUUGUAGAUGGUUGAGUGUGAGAUUAGACCUUUGUGAAUAGUAUGGUAAAUUACUUUGAAGUGUGGUUGUAUAAAAGUUUGGUUGUGAAUUUCGUUAUGAAAAAUAUGGCCCUACUUUUCUAUCCUAUUGUUUUAUUGUCUGGGGAUUAUAAUUGCUUCUGCAUGUGCAUAUUAAAACGAAAAAAGGGUUGGCGAUACGUAGUCCUGGGAUAUUGCUUUUAAAAUCAUCCAAAGGUAAGGGAUGUGUGCGUGCCUGAGGAUCGGGUUGUGACAAUAGGAGAGUAGCAGUGAAGUUCGGAAUCAAACAAAACGGUUGUGACUUGACUCAAAUAUCAAGCCAAGGUAAAUAUUGUUGAAAAUAUAUUUUGAGUUUGAGCUUGAAAAGGAACAUGUUCCAUAAUUUGAGUUGGUUUCUACUUUAAGUAGUUUCCUAUUUUUUCUAGGUUUUCUAAAAGGGAUUUCCUAUUUUGGAUCUAACCUUGUCUAUGUAUAAGAAGUGUUGCUUUGUGAAGAGCAUCCAAAAGGUUGCUUCUUUGUGAAUCACACCUUGACACAAUCCAAGUGUAUUAAAGCCAAUAAAUUAUGUGGUAACUAUUGUACCCCUAGAUCAGCUCAUUAAAUUUUUGUCCACUUUGGCCCAUCUCAUAUGAAAUCUCAAGAUUUUGUUCUUCGGCAUGCAGGUGAACAUUUUCUUAGGAGAUCACUCAUCUUAAUAGUGCUAUCCCUUAAGCAUGCUUAAUGUUAUGUUAUGUCACAGCUAUCUUAUAAGUUAAUUCCCAUUUUACAUAUAUCCCAAGAACACUCUCCCCCUAUUCAGGGCGCAAUCUGAUUCACUUUUGUGUCAUUUUCCAUACUAAAAGCUUAUCAAGAGCCAUUUAUUUUCUGGGCCCCUUGACAUCAAUAAUCACUCUUUGCUUCAUUGGAUUGGGUUGUUACAAUAAGAUUUUAGUGAGGAAUUGUUAGUGCUAAACAACGUGAGGAUUAUUUGGUGCAAUUGGGGAUGGUAAACACUGAGAGCGGUUGGGUGACUCAAAUAUGAUUGGAAUCUACAUUAUAUCGUUUAAUCUUCAAUGGAAUUUCAUGUUGCUCUCCCUAUGGAUGUUGGUUACAUUGUCCAAACUAUCUAAAUCAAUUUCCGAUUUAUUAUUUUAUUUUGUUUAUUUUGCCGUUCGAUUUUUAUUUUAUUUUUUAUUUUCUACAACCAAAAAUUUGUCCAAAGGGUAUGUUUUUAUAGAGGUUCAGUUGUUUUGAUGAAAAUGAUCAGCAUAGUGUUAGUUAGAAGAGUUCUUCUACAAUCUAUGUGAAAUACUAAUGGAUCUAUGCAUCUUGUGUGCAAGUACAAAUUUUAAUAAAGUGAUAAUUGCAUUGACCAGUUUUGGGAUUGUUUGGUAACAUUCCCAUUUCGAAAAAAUACAUAUAUAUAUUUUCAGAAUUAGUCUUUUUUUUUUGUACUCCCUAAAACAAUUUCUGAGUAAAAUAACCAAAAAAAAAAAAAAGGAGAAACGUUGACACGUGCGCUCUUAAUGUUCUGAUUUCCUCUGGAGUAUAAUAAUGUUAAUGACAAUCGCUGCAUUCACACAAGUCUUCAGCUCAUGUUGGUGCUAGCGCUAUUGGUGUUUGUUUGAUUUCUGUCGUUUGACUUCAAUUUUUUUUCCCUAAAUGUCAAAAGGUGGUCUUUGUCUCCACUAUCUUUAAAUAUUCGCACAUUGGAUUGAUCCCAUCGAAAAACUUAUCCAAAACCCUCACUAUGAGGUACUAGUACUCCUCCAAGAGGGGAGGGAGUCUUUAGUCAAAUCAAGAAACAAAGAUGAAACACUUAUUUCUUCGAAUCUUUUUCUAUUUCUACUCUUGCACUAGUCUUUAGUGCUCCUAGCCUGUUUCUCAUCUUGUUCCUCAUCCUUGCAUUAGAACAUCUUGUACCAGCUAUCGUACUCUCUCAUAACUCGUCAUGUCCUACAUUAACCAAUCACUCACUCAAGUAAAAAGAUAGGACCUAGACCCCGGAAAGUGAUCUUUUGUUGGAUUAGAUUAUCCCACUCGAAUAACAUAAAAAGAGUGAUUCAUCCCUCUCUUACUCUCGCUCUUGCUCUCACUCACAUAAACCGCAACACGCCCCAACGGCUUCAAACGGCGAUCAUAGUAAGGUGACUAGCUUGGCUAUAUCUACAACCGCUGGCCUCAUGAUCGAGCUUUUGUUUCUAGCUAUAUAUUUGAUGUUACUAUAAAAAAUUGUGAAUGUUGAGCCUUUAUAUCAUACCGCAUCCAAUUCUGUGCAAUUUCUUAUUCCAUUGACCAAAUGAAGAUUGAAAGACAUAAUACAAAAAUCAUAUAAUGCAUUGAAUUUCUAAUAGAUAAAUGUGAUUUUGGGUAGGAUUUUUCCUGAGUUUAUGGUAUUUUCUUGUAAAUAUGUCAUUCUUUUCCUUUGCCAUUUAAGUAGGCGUUUGGUAACAUUUCUGUUAAAAAAUAACGGGGAAUAAUUUUUUAAUAGAAGAACGCGUUUAGUAAACUUGUAUAAUUUUUAUUCCGGAAAUAGAAAAAGAACAGAAACACAUUUAGUAAACUUGUAUAAUUUCUUUUAAUUUUUUAAAUAUUUUUUAAUUUAUUUUUCCUUUUUUCUUUUUUCUUUGUUUUGGCUGGUCGCCAACCUCGGCCAUUGUCGACGACUGGCCGACGAGGGCCGACAGCCUCGCCUAGCCAUGGCAAGGCUCGCUGGCCUCCAUCAAGGUCACCGACCCUCGACGACCGGUCCCCAGUCAUGGCUGAGGCUGGCGACUGACCAAAGAAAAAAGAAAGAAAAUGAAAAAGUAGGAGAGAGAAACAAUUUUUCUCGGGAGCAAGAAAUGAGUUUUUCUUGUUUAUUGUUUCUAUUUUCAGGAACAAAAAUAUAAACAAAAGCGAUUCUAUCUUUUUUUUUGUUCCUUAAAAUGAAAGAAUUGAAAUUGUGUUCUGGGAAAAAAAAAAACAAAAGAAGAGGACAAAAAGGAGCCAUGGGUCAAUGAAAUUGAGGUGGGACCGAGUGUUGCCGAAGAAGAAAGGAGGGGAUAAGACCGCAGGAGGGUGUGUCGGCUGAAGGAAUAAGGAACGUGCGAAGCAUUGAGAAAAAGACAGGGAGAGAUGUGAUCGUAAAUGGAUAGGAAGAAGGGGGCCCCAUUGGUCAACAUUUAAACAAAUGAAAGACCAAAGCAAAGGGAAAUUAAAGCAAUGUGAGGACCGCAGGGGUGUGCGUGCGUGGGUCCAAGAAUAAGAAAGAGAAAAUAAAACAAAACCAAUUUAUAAUUUUGCUCAACUUCAACAUUUUAACAAUCGGUCAUCCCGGGGUCCAAUUCUUUACCAAUUACAAAAUUUGAAGUGUCAAUGAAGACCGAGAUGAGUCGGUUUUUUCAUCUCACGAAUUUCCUUCAAAUCCAAACUCUCUUUCAUUUUCUUUUGAAAUCCGAUUUUCUGAACAAACUUCUCCGAUUGAGAUCCGAUUUGUUACAGAAAAAGCCCACAAAAUUUCCUUUCACCUAUUCACUCACACUAGUUGCCAAAAAUCCCUUCAAAUAGGUCGGUCCAAAUUUUUGUUAGUUUUCCGAAUCGUCCAUUCGAUUUUCUAUAAAACUCCCGAACUCGCCGGAAAUUCUUCGAAAGGUGAGUCAGCGUUCCUAGAAUGAUUCAUGACAGGACUUCCAAUUUCUGAAAUCAAAUUCAAAUUUGUGGUUAUUUUCAAUCAAACUCGCUUUUAGUGUGACUUUACUUACUGGGUAGUUUUUAGGAAUUUUUGGUACAAUUGAUCUGUGGUCGAUUUUCUUCGAAUCACGAUGAACCCAUAUGACACAUUGACGACUGUUGGUGGUUGUGAAAAUCUCGAGGUUUCAAAUACGAACACAGGGUACCAAAAAUGGUAGAAAAUUGUUUUAGUACCGAUCGACAAGAAUUUUGCAAUCAGGUGGAAUCACCCACACUUUGAUUGUCAUCUUAGUCGAAUCGACCUAUCCCCGGUCUUUCAUCAAAUUUUAAUUAUGCCGUAAUGAUCAUUGCAGACUUGCACGGUUGAGUCGCCGACUCAUGGUCAAAUUCUCAAGUCUAUUGUAUUUAAAAUCCUUUAAUGGCUUCACCAAAUAGGUCAAUUAUCUCAUGAGUGGCCACCUCAGAGAAAAACACUAUAGUCACAUUGAUGAAAGGCCCGAUUUAUCCAAUCGAAAUAAGAACUUGAAAAUCAGGAUGUCACACUAUACAAAUUACAUUUUGUGAGACUAGGUCAGCUCUGCUCAAGUGUUAUCUGCUCAAGUCUUCUUACAAGACUAGUUGACAUCGAGCGCCCAUUGACAGUGAGCUGGUUUUGAUCCGUGUUCAAUAGAAUCAACAUACUGCGAUAAAUUUGUCCAAAGAGCACGGUUUUAGUGAUGUUUGGCCCUAAUUAAACGAUCGGCAUGCUGUUAGAUGAGUUGCCUUGCGAUUUAUAUGGAAUAUCGCUGUAUCUACCCGUCUCCUAUGCAAGUACAAAUUAAAACAAGUGAUAACGGCAAAGGCUUUGAAUGUACACAAGCACGUGACCUGCGGGAGCACACGUGCGCUCACUUGCAUGCUUAGCACCAUCCAAAAUCUUAAAUGUUGAAUUUACUUUAUUGAGGAGUUCAAAAUGUGGCUUAUUUUAUGGAUUGAAUCCAUCAAAAAGCUCAUCCAAAAACCUAACCGUGAGGAACCACUCAAGAGGAGCCUUUUAUCAAAUCUGAGAAACAAGUACUCCUUUUUGGUUAGACCUCUUUUAGUGCGAUCGUGGUGUUGGCCCCUCUUAGUAAAUCCUGCACCUGCUCACUGCACUCUCAUAACUCACAUAGGUCCCAAAAGAACCAAAUCCUUCGCUCGAGGAAGAUGGAAUUGUGACCUCGGCAACGAGUGCCGCAUCAUUGGGAAAUCGUUUGGAGCACGGGAUAUGAAUCCGACCAAGCGUUUUACUGCGUCGAUGAGCAAACUGUGUCGGGUUGUUAAUCGCGGACAUGCACAAUGAGCAUUAGAAUAGAAGCAGCAAGGAGAUCUUCCCAAAUUCUCAAAAAACAUGAAAUUUGUUGGUGUUCCGUGGUCUGGCUAUUUUUUUUUUCCAUCACUCUGGACUCUCUCGCAGACAGCAAUCUAGGCUCUCCUAGCAUUCCCUAGUGAACUUACUUUCUAUCUUGAAACAGGGUCGGCGAUGUAUUAAUUCUCUCUCUCUCUCCCUCUGUCUCUCUGUCUCUCUAUCAUAAAUUUCCUAGAAGAUGUUAAAAUGUCCUAUGUCACGUCCCGAAUUCCACGAAGGUAGGGGUAAUGACAUAAUCGUCCUUUCACCAAAAGAUAGGAUCUCAAACUAUACCUAAAAGUCAAGCUCCCAAAAGUGCUCUUGUAUUAUCGGUCGCUAAUUGAGGAACCCAAAAAAAUAAGGAAGGAAAUGAGUGAACAAUCACAUUUUAGUAAGUAGUGCAUAUUUCUUCUAAACAAAUUGAAUAUCAAUUAUGCACUUUACAAAACAAUGUUCAAAGCUCACUUAUCUUAAUCCUAGUAUAAUACACAUACAAUAUAAGAAUAAUUAUAUUGCUUUAACAUCUACAUAUCAGAAAACAUUUGUCUAAUCAAUAAUAUUAUAACAAACAACAAUGAUCUAAUCCUUUAAUGAAUCUUAUCAAUUCACAUGUCAAUGGUUUAAACCAUUGAUUAAUCUCAACAAAUCACACAUCAAUGAUCCAUUCCAUCAACUAAUCUCAAAUUGCAUGUAAAUGGUCCAUUUUGUUGACUGAAUUUGUGCUCAAAUAUUAGCCAUGAUUAUGCAUAACACCUCGUGACAAGGCAACAAACUCAUUUCUUGGCAAUGUCACCACCUAUAUUGUCACCGCUUGGCCUAUUAGGAUAUAUUAAACUAACAUGCACAUACCCAUAAGCCCCACAAUGAGCUCAUACAUAUUAAGCACCAACACAAACUAGUAACAGGAUCCUUUACAAUUUGCAAGCAAAUUCGGAAUCAAAUUACAAAUGGUUUCACAAACCAAGCAUAUUAUCUUCCUCAUAGAAUACAUUUCACAAGGCAUUUCUUAGACUAUUUCAAAAUCCAUUUCAUUAACUAGGUUCACAAUGUAUAUAUAUAACAUUUCGCAACAUGUUUCAUAAUCAUUCUCAACUGCCUAGUAAAUGCCUGAUCUAGAUUUUUAUGCAACAAACAUGCUUUUUCAUAACUCGUAAUAUAUUGAAUCUCUAUAACUUUCAAGACAUAAGUUCACAAAUUCAUAAAAUAGAUAUCAUCAUUUAACCCACAACCAACUAUUCGCAUCAAUGAUCAUGUAAUCUUAACAAUUAGACAAAAUAAACAUUGAAACCAGUAAGAAUACCUCAACUACAAAUUGGUUAAACUAUGACUCCUAUGCACUAACAAACAACAUACUAUUCACGUUGAGGUUCUCAUAAUCCUAAAAAUUAAACAAGAAUCAAGUUUAAAACCUAAUAAAACUCUACCUUAACUACGAAUUGGCUAAAUUAUUCUUAAAGGCUAACAAAAUGACUUCUAUGCGCUAACAAAUCGAUCGCUUGAACUGAUUAUUCACGCUUAAACGUAAUGCGAAACAAAACCCUAAAAUUCCACUCCUACAAAACUGUUGCUCCAAAUUGAGUCCUAUCAAAACCCACAACUCUAUGACACUAUAGUCCACUAUUUCCAUAAAAUCUCAUAACUUGACAACUUAAAAAUUGGACUUCAUAGUUUGAUUCCCUAAACUUUGAAUUUGUGCCUAACCUCGAAAGUUACUCCGAUUGAAUGAAUACAAGACAUGAAUCCUUACUGGGCAAUGCAAUUUGGGAUUGAAUCGAUGUGUUAUGGUGUCUGCAUUGCAUACGUGGAAUCCCUUUUCUUUCUAUUCUUCUUCCCUUAUUUUCUUUCUCUCCCUUUUUUUGCAUUGCUUUCAGUCCUCUCUCUAAAAUCAAUCUCCUAACACACAAUGUUCUAGUUUCCCAACUAAUCAGGUCAAAUUGGAAUCAAUCUUGUAAGAGAUUGGUAGGGUUUAAACAUUCACUGACGAAGAUGAAAAGCGGGGAAAGAGAGAGGUCAAAAUCUCAAUCAUUGAUCGACGGAUCGAAAUGCACGCCAUACGAUUCAGCAACAUUAAGUUUAAGGCCAACCGAUAGCAGGGAUCGAAUUGCUUGGGGAGCACCUAGUUACUGUUAGGAGAUUUUCCUGUCUAAUCUUUGGAAGGACAUGGUUGUCAUGUUUCUAGCUCGGGAAGUUCGGUACCGUCUUCAAUCGAGGGAAUUGGGUUAACUUGUGGUUGAGGACAGUGCCGUAAGGCAUGUUAACCCAACUGUGGGCAUUUAACCCACCCUCACUCACUCUGUCUACCUGGUAGUAGCCAAAAUCGAAGUCCUGAUGUGGUGUUUACCUUCACUACCGUAAGGCGUGUUAACCCAACUGUGGGCACUUAACCCACCCUUACUCACUCUGUUUACCCGGUAGUAGCCAAAAUUGAAGUCUUGAUGUGAUGUUUACCUUCACCACCGUAAGGCGUGUUAACCCAAUUGUGGGCAUUUAACCCACCCUUACUCACUCUGUCUACCCAGUAGAAGCCAAAAUCGAAAUCCUGAUGUGGUGUUUACCUUCACCACCGUGAGGCCUCCUAAUUGCCUGUCUACAUUUGUCUUCCCGACAGAGAGGGAAUAGGAGGACAGCGUGGGGUUUCUCAUCCUAGGGUGGUUCUCCCUGCCUAUUUUCUCCGUGAGCCCUUUGAGGAUCUGCUCAGGUCCAAGAUACCUAAUCUCUUGCGGUGCUCUUUAUGCCACUCUUACCUCUCCUUUUUUUUUUUUUUUUUCCGAAUCUAAUGUCAGAGCUUCAAUCCUAACCCUUAUUCAAUGCUGUUCGGCGGACCUCCCCUUCAACGGUAAGAAAGGUCGCUGGACCCCCGCCAAGUUUUGCCAGCUGGACAUAGGGUCGAUCCUCCAAUUGUUGCACAAAAUCUCAGGUCGCGAUCAAACGACGCCGACUGCUGGUCCUAAACGAACAAAUCUUGUCUCAACACAUGCCCAAGAGUUCGUUAAGCUGUGGAACCUCUUUUUGGAUUAAUCUGCUAGAACUAGCUACUGCGCGAGUUCUAGAUUUCACCCUAGGCCUCAUCUACCCGCAUUAUUCGAACCCUAAGCCUUGGCGGUAUUUUGGCCUGUUAGGUAACUAUCACCAUCGAUUUGGCAGACCCCGGAGCCUUCACUAGAAUCGUGGGCAUGCACGGUGAGGAUAUAGCCUUUCCAAGUGUCGCAAAAGGAGCGUGUAGAAAGCACAGCUCCAUAAUCACCUUAGGAAAACCUCCCCUCUCCAUUCUCCCGAAAAAGCAUGAAGCUGCGGGCGCUUUGCGGUCCUCCUCUGUGUCUUCUCCUCUGCCUUCUCUUCCAGUCUGGACUGUCCCAAACGGUGGUCAAGUCUCUUCCCGGAUUGCCUGGAGACCUCCCUUUUCAUCUCGAAACCGGGUCAGUGACAUUCCCUUUCACUUUUUUGUGCUGUUGUCCUUAUCUCUCUCUUCUCUCUCUAUCUCUCUCGGUACUUGUUUGAAUCUUUGCAUGUUAUGACUGAUUCUCUCCCCCAAUUUUUUAUAAUUGUUUUAGAUACAUUGGAGUUGGGGAGUUGGAUGAUGUUCAACUUUUUUAUUACUUUGUCGAGUCGGAGAGGAGCCCAAGAGACGACCAUCUGGUGCUAUGGCUCACCGGCGGCCCCGGUUGCUCUGCUCUCUCCGGACUGAUUUACGAGAUCGGUGAGUCCUCCUCUGAACCUUUGCCUUUGCCAAAACACGGGUCAAGAGAAACCGAGCCGAGCUUGUCGGAUGUGGUGGUCACCUGCCGAGAGUGAAAUCUAACAUUCCCAAUUUUCAUGGUCACCAUCUCACUGUCUUAAUCAACUAAUACCCUUUUCUUUGCAAAUCGAACUCCAUACUCAUGAGAGGUUGAUUUUGAGGCUUCAUGCCGAACAAGAUUGUAGCUGACAACCAAGUGUUAGAAAUCAAUUACUACUUUCCUAGGUGAAUAGUUACUAUAUUACGUCUCUUAUGUCAAUGACACAAAGGGGAUAUUAAAUAAAUGUUCAUUAAGAGACAAUGACAUUUCUUCUUGGUUCAAAAAGUAAGUUCAUGUGGCACUUGAAUUUUGCAUGCCGUCGCAUGCAAAAGCUGAUUUCAGCAUGAUAAAUGGACAUGUCAUUUUGAAAUUUUAUGUAUUCUAAUGCGGAUGUUCAUUACAUGUAAUGUAGGUCCAUUUACGUUCAAUUACGAGAAUUCUUCUAGAUUCAGACCAACACUCAAAUUUAAUGAUUAUUCAUGGACAAAGGUAACCAGAAAUGAUUUAUGCUACAUGAACCUCUUAAUUUGAUUGGACAACUGUUGAGUAUACCAUAUUUCUGGUCUUAUAUGUUAGCAAGUCAUUCACGAUUAGCUUGCUCACUAUACAGGUGGCGAAUAUUAUAUUCUUAGAUCAGCCUGUUCGAACUGGAUUUUCUUAUGCUAAUAAUUGGGAAAGCUAUAAUAUAAACGACAACAUUUCGGUCGCAGAAUCUUACGAAUUUCUAAGGAAGGUAAAGUCAAAAAGAGAAUUUUUAUAUAAAGGAGAGUCUCUACAUAAUUAAUACUAUUAAUCUCUUUUUAAUCUUUUGGCCUUGUUGCUUGAUUUAGUGGCUUAAGCUCCAUCCCCAGUUUUUGAGCAACCCACUCUACAUUGCUGGGGACUCUUACUCGGGUGUCACUGUUCCAAGGGUCGCUUUAGAAGUUGAUAAAGGUAUCAUUAUUUAUUCAUUUUUUUGUAUUCUGCUUCCUUGUGAUUAAGCAUUUUAUAUUUGUAAUUCUACACGUCAAUAAUUUUAUAUUCAAAAAAUUUUCGAAUAAAAAAGCCCAAGUGCGUACUCCCCAAAUUCAAAUUAACCAAAAAAUAAGAAAAAUAUAAGUCAAUUUAGAUGCGUCCUAAAAGGCGAUUUUGUUUGUUUCUUUCGGGGAUCAUGGUUCAUUAUGAUUUAUACCAGGAAAUGAAGCUGGUUUGGAGCCUAAGAUGAAUCUUGAGGUAACUAUUGCUAUCAUCACAUUAGUACACUCAUUAUUUUGCAUUUCCUUUUUGAAAGAAUGAAACUUACUAGUUCAAUUUGAUUCAGGGCUAUGUACUCGGAAACCCCCUAACAAAUUAUGAUAGUGACCUCAAUUCAAGAGUCCCAUUUGCUCAUCUGAAGAGUCUUAUACCAAAUGAGCUAUAUGAGGUAAAGACUUCCGCUUUUUCUAUGGCAUGUCAUGCCACAAAAUUUUCACGUUUUUCGUUAUUGCUUGGUGCAUGAAAAGAUUGAUUGAGACGCAUACUAAAUGUAUUAGAUGUAGAAUGUGUAUCAUUAUUUUUAGAAUGAAAUACAAAUUCAGGAAAUUUUCUUAAUUAUCAAUACUAAUAUCAUAAAAAGCGAGAAAACAAAAGGCAAAAAUAUGUGUUAUGAGAUUUUUGCCCCCACCGAAUAUUUCUCCAUGAGUCACUUAUUUUUAUUUAAUAUUUGAUUCGAAAAUUAAUGUCCAUCUUUUGUGUGUAUUUCAGUCAGCUAAAACUGAUUGUAACGGUGAGUACAUAAACGUCAACGAAAGCAAUGCUGAUUGCGUUGACGAUCUUAAAGCUGUGAAUCUGGUUAGUUGGCAAUCAUUUUUUUUACCCUCCUCUUUAUUUCUUUAUUAUUUCUUUCUGUCUUUUUUCCCUUUUUGACCAAUAUGUUUUUGUAUUAUUGGAAAUUCCAUGCAUUGAACCUUGACUUUUUGCUAACUACAGUGCGUGGAGAAUAUAAAUACGGCAAACAUACUGGAACCGACCUGCGUGCCUCAGUCUCCCAAAUCGACGGUCAGUGAUAGGUGGGACCCAACCUUAAUAAAUCGAGACCCUUCACCUCUCCUUUUGUCGACGGAGAGAGCUUCCCGGGUUUGGUGCCGGGUAAGAAUCAGUUUUUGUUUAUUUUUAACCACCGUUUUGCCACAUUUUCAGAAAAAAAGAAGAAGAAAGAAUCAAUUUGUUAAUUGAAUUUUGCCUUUUACCUUUUAAUUAAUUUAAUUUUAGCCGCGUAGGCACUUUGACUUCUCCAUACUCGAAAUACCAAGAACUUCCUUGAUAUAUAAGUAUUGACAUGUAAAUUCGAGUAUAAAGUUCUCAUAAAUUAUUGGAAUUUAAAUAAUAUUUUUUUUAUUCUGACAAGAAAACUAGAUGUCGUUUUUCGUUUGGUUGAAGCGGAUGUGACUUAAUUAAUUAGAUUAUUGGUGGAUCAUCAUCUUCGUUGGUCAAUUACAGUUUUUCAGAUUAUUUUGAUUCUCUACUUCUCAUCCAUUCCCUAGUCAAGAAUAUCAAAUACAUGUUAACAUAACAUUUACGUUCGAGAGAAAAAAGGGGAAAAAAGAAUAAUAUUCAUGUUUUUGAUUAGUAGUCACAACAUGGUAAUUAUGUACAAAUACAACUUCGUAUUGCUGUAAUUAGUAUUCAAUUACAUUGAAAUUUGAUGAUUAAUAUAUCAAAUUAAAGGGUCAAGGUUAAAAAUUAGAAAUGACAAGUCUCGAAAUUUAAUGACUUACCUUUUUGCCUGACCAUAAAAAAAAUUAAGUUCUUAUGUGAAUAGUUGCCAAUGCUGUGUAAAAUAUUUUUAAUUUCUCCAGGGUUGAAAUUUUACGAUCAAUGAAGUUGGCUUAAGGAUGAUCCCCUUAAGCUCUCUAAUCAAAUAGUUGGUGACUCAUUUUUUUUUUAAUUUUUGAGUGGCUAAAUACACCCUCAAGUAGUCUGACCCGAAAUUCUUGACCGAAAAAAUAAUAAUUUGACAGGAAAUUUGUGUCGAAUCAGUCAUUUUCAGCUUAAAUAGAAAGGAUCAUGAUCAAAUUGCAAAGUUCCCAGCUCAAUUUUGUAACCUCAUUUUUACAAUGUAGAAUUAUAACUAUCUCUACAUCUAUAUCUGGGCUAGCGCUAAAGCAGUUCCAGAUGCUCUUCAUAUCCGAGAGGUAUGUCUACCACUAAUGUUAAUUACAUAAUAUCACUUUUAUUUAUUUAUUAUCUUUUUUUCUUUUUCUUACAUCUAUUUUUGGUCUAUAUUUUGUGAUGUGCUUAAUGAUAAGCUAGGGGACAGUUGAGAAGUGGGUAAGGUGCAAUAAGACUUUAUCUUACACAUCCCAUGUCCUAGUUGUCAUUGACAUACACAAAGAGCUCAUAAAAAGGGGAUUUCGAGCACUUAUUUAUAGGUAAUUAAGCAUCACUUUGCAAUGUGAUUUAUGGCUCAUAGUUGACCUACUUACUUCACUUAACGUUACUCUUUCUUAACGUGCAGUGGUGAUCACGACAUGCUCAUCCCGUAUGUGGGAACUCAAGCUUGGAUCCAUACAUUGAAUCUAACGAUUUCUGAAGAUUGGCACGCAUGGUUUGUCGAUGGACAAGUUGCUGGGUUUGGUUUCGAUAACAACCUCUUAACUAUUGUAUAGUUCAAUUUCUAGACGAAUUUGUUCCGAUGGAGAGAAUAACCUCUCUCGACAUCGCGGUACUUAUGUUGAUUUAUGAAAUGAGGCUCCUGCAUUUUCGAUACUCGGUGAAAGCAAAAGUCUGUCCAUCCGAGUUCCCCGGAUAAUAUCGCAAAAUGCAUGUAUAGCAGCUGGAUAACUGAUCGCUUUUUAUUUUUAUUAAAUCUUCUAUUGGGUAUCUCGAUCGUUUGUGGUUACUUUUCUCUCUUUUCUCUCUUAUAGGUAUGCUACGCUAUAUUCUUCCUUUCCAUCCCUUUUUACAUUUGUAACCGUCAAGGUAAACAGAUUCAUAUAAUAUACUUUCUUCUUCGCAAGCCCUUUUUUCUUAGCUUUUCACAUUUUCAUAUCAUAAUUUCAACGAAAUUGGCUCCUUAGAAUUCGCAAACCGUACGUUGAAAGUGGUGUUAUAUGAACUCCUUCAUGCAGGGAGUGGGACACACGGCUCCAGAAUACAAGCCCAAGGAAUGUUUUGCACUGAUUAGUAGGUGGUUUGAUUAUUUUUACAUUUAACUUGCACUUGUAGCUCCCUUUUAGUUCGACGAUUUAUAUAAUAAACAUAUCGUCGAUGUAAUAAAUUUCUGGUGCUCCGAUUCGGGAACAAUGCUGAAAUGGAUAUCCUUGUUCAUCUCUACGAAUUUCGGAUUAGAUUGAGCUCCUCAGACAUCUAAGGGCCUGUUUGUUUAUUUUUAUUUUUGUUCCUUGGAACAAAAAUUUAUGUUUUUUUGUUCUGGAGAACAAAAAAAGAACAGAAAUGUGUUUGGUAAAAUUUUGUUCUCGGGAACAGAUUUGGAACAAAAACAAGAAGUAGAAAAAAUUGUUUCUUGUUUUAGGAACAAUUCCGAGAAACAAAUUUUCUCUCUCCUCUUUUUUUCUUCUUCUUUUCUCUUAUUCUUCUUCUUCCUUUUGCCGGUCACCGGCCUUGGCCAUAGUCAGUGUUGACGAUCGGCCAGACGAGGGUUGGUAACCUCACCGAAGCGUCGCUAGCCCCUGGAGAAGCUGAGCCAUGGUGAGGCUCGACCUCGCUAGGCCAGGGCGAGGCUAACCUUGCGCCGCUUGGGCGAGGUCGACCUCGCGCCGCCUGGGCGAUGUUGAGCCCCGUUGGUGGCCUCAGUGGCUAGGCGAGCCUCACGAGGCCAUCGGCAAGGCUCGACCUCGCCCAGGCGGCGCGAGGCUCGCCUGGCCAUCAAGGCCAUUGGCGAGGUUCAGCCUUGCCUAGAUCUAGCGAGGCCGAGCCUCGUGGUAGCCUAGUGAGGCUUCGGCGAGCUCGCCAGCCCUCGUGGUGGCUUGGUGAGGCUUCGGUGGAGCUCGCCCAGCGGGUUGCCGGUCGUCGCUGUGGCUGGUGACCAGCCAUAAAGAGAAAGAAGGAAAAAAAAAAUAGAAAGAAGAAAGAAGAAAAAAAGAAAAAAAAAAGAAAGGAGAAAAAAAAAGGAAAAAUAUGAUAAAAAUAUUGAAAAACUAAAAUAAAUAACAAAAUUAUAUAAAUUUACCAAACAUAUUUCUAUUUUUGGAGUAGAAAUUUUUUGCAGUUACUAAUAACAUGCAUGACAAAAUUUUUGGAAUGGAAAUCAAUUUAUGGGCAGAAAUUGAUUUCUCAAUUUUCUAUUCCAUAGACGAGUUUCUAAGUAAAGAAACACGUUUGAUAACAAUUCAAAAUUUCUAUUUAUGAAAUAAAAAUUUGUUUGAUAACAAAAUAAAAUUUCUAUUUCUAGGAGCGGCAACGACCGGUGUUUGGUAGCCGGAGUUCGAAGACUGGCGGCGAGCGAUCGAAGUCUAAAAUCCAACGUUUGGUGUCCGGUGGCGGGUGGCCAAAGUCCGGAGUCCAACAUUGGAGUUCGACGACUAGCAACCGGCGUCCAAUGUCCAAAGUUCGACGUCUAACAUCCAACAUCCAACAUCUAGAGUUCAGCGACAAGAGGCCGGCGGCGGGUGGCCAGUGGCUGAAGUUUGGUAGCGGGUGACGGCCGGCUGGCAUCUGGCGACUAGUGGCGAGCAACAAAUGGUCGCCGGGAAACAUUCGGUGGUUGGUGAUUGUUGACACCUAAAUUUUGCUAUUUUACUUAAAACUUAAUCACAUACAAAAUUAGGAAUUAGUCGAAAAACAAAACAAAAAUUAUUAUUAAAAAAAAAAUGCUUAAGGGUGGUUAAGUUGGGCCUGAUCUGACCUUGGCCCGACUUGGCCCGCCCCCCUUUCUUUUCUUCUCUCUCUCACGCGAGGGCCCAGCCUAACUAGUUUUUCCCCCAAGGCAUCCUUUUGCAUGCGACUUGCGAGAAAAGGGAAAAAGAAAAAACCCUAGAAAGAGAGGGGAGGCGGGGAAUGAGCAGGAAGGAGAGAACGGGAGGACAUAGAGCUGGAGGAGGAGACCGAAUUGGAGAGAGAGAAAAAGAGAGAAGGAACGGAGGGGAGAAGCGUAGCGGCGGUGCUGCCCGACGCUGUCCAAGCCGCCGCACUCCUCCUCGCCGUCGUGUCCCGUCGCUGUCCGAGCCGCCGCACUCCUCCUCGCUGCCGUGUCCGAAGCUGUUCGAGCUGCCCCGCGUUUGUGACCGCCUAGCGCUGACCUGCUUCUACUCUGCCUCGCCUUCGACUUGCAGAUCCUGCGUUCGCCAAGCCCCUCACCGCGCUGCCGAGACUCCUGCAAGCCUAAAGCCCCGCCUCCCGUCAAGACCCCCUAUUGCUAGGUCCUCCUCUUCUUUGACACCCAGCAGAUCUGCUUUGAGCCUCUUCUGAGCGAAGCUGCCUUCUACUCCCUACCUGCUGCUCUGCCCGUAUUUUGCUCACCCAACGUCGCUCCUCCGCUCGCGAUGACCUGCUAGCACUGCUGCCUAUAGCCGUCGUUGCCACCCAUUAUGUCGCCGCCGCCGUCCAUGCUACCGUUCGUCACCGCCGUUGCCAACGCCGCCAAAAAACCCUAGGGUUUCGGCCAUGAAAUCGGGUAUGAAGUAGGUCCAAGAGAUGAGUAGGGUUUUGGACGAGUGUGGGUCGGUUUUGGGCCUUUGGGCUUUUGGGCCUGUUUGUUUUAAAAAGAGAGGGGGUAGCCUCACUUACGAAAGGGGGGUUGGGCCCGUCUGUGGGCCUAACCCCAAUUUGAGAAAUGGCCCGACCACAUCUGGUCGGGCCAAAUCUCCUUUCGGAGUCGGCCAAUCGGCCCGCCCCCAGCCAAGCCAAACUCGGGUCUGGUCCCCGACCGAACUUGACUUCCACAGACCAGGCCGAACCAGGUCGGGUUUGACCCGACCUAGCCCUGUACGGCCCAAAAAAAUUUAAAAAAAAAUUUAAAAAAAAAUUAAAAAUUUCGAAAAUCCAAAAAAAUGUAGGUUUUGAUUAGGAAUGGCCAUGUAUUGCCUAUAUAGUGUAAUUAGGCAUUUAUUUGCCCGUAUAUUGAUUAUAUUGCAUGUUUAAUUUACCUGUUUAAUUAUGUUUGCAAUUGCUUAGUUGCAUGUGUUUAAUUUUACUGCAAUUAGGAUUUUGGUAGUUAUGAUUGUUACUUUAAUGAUUGCGCACCCGCAUGAUCACCUUACAUGUUAGUGGAUAGGUAUAAAAUCAACCAAAACUGCUUGCGAAAAAUCAUUUUGUUAAAGUGAACAAGAUUAGGUACCGAAAGGGCACUAAUUGGUCAAUUAGUAUAAUCAAGUCCCCGACCCUAGACUCUCUGGUUGCGUAGGAGGUGAGGUAUACUCUCAUGUCUCACUUGGUUUCUGGCUGACCCCAAUAGGCUAGUGGCGACUUUUUUUGUGCAAAAUUUCUUUUGAAUAUCCCAACGUCACGCGGGGUAUGGGCUUGGGAGAGCUCGUGCCUAAUCAUGGGCCUUAGGCCCGUCCUUUAUGCAGUAUUCCUAAACCUACUCCCUCCCCCUGAGGGUAGGUCGUGACAGUGAUGAGCCUCCGGCAUGCAAUGAUUGGUGAUGAGCAACCAACGACCAGUGGGUGUUCGGCAUCCGGCAACCGGUGGUUGGUGACAGGCGGCUGGAGUGCGGUGGCCAGGGUCGGCGGCGGGCGUUCGGCAUUCCACAGGUGGCAAGUGGGCAACGGGUAGUGAUGAGAGUGAACGAUAAAAAAAAAAUUUUGAUUUUUCAUUUCUGUUCCAGAAAUAGAAAAGCUAAAAAUUUUAACUUUUGAUUUAUGCUCCCAAUCUAUUUUUGGAAUAGAAAUCUGUUCUAGAAAUAAAAAAAAUGAAAUUGCAUUACUAAAUGGAUUUCUAUUACAAACCUGUUUUGAGGAAUAGAAAAACAGAGAAAUAAAGAAACAAAAAUUUCAUCAUCCGCAUCCCAAGCGUGUUCUUAUAUUCAGAAAUUGUUUUCGGGAAAAAAAAAAUCUAUGUAUGUUCAAAAAUUGUUCCUUGUAACAUAAACGUUACCAAACACGCCCUAACAUUGCGACAUCUCAAAGUGUUUUUUCUUUCAUGAAUGUUACUGAUGAGUGAUAACACCACACUUGAUAAGUAACUGAUGAAGCAUACAUACUUUACAUUUUUUUUUAAUGCACUAAUCUAUCUGAUAUCAUAUGUGAUCAAUACCUCGAUAGUCAAACCGUUCCAUGUGGAGUAUGUUUAAUAGGGGCCCCAAAGGCACUGUUGACAUGAUCCUCAAUAGUAAUCGGGAGCAUUGCUCCCUUAUGCACCUCCUUGGUCAUUGAAUGAUUGAUGGAAACACAACCCGCAACAGUUCAACAACAGUAAUUUUUUAAGGCCGAUUAUUGCUAUUGGUUGUUUGCAAACAAACAAAAUUAUUAUUAUUAUUUUUUUCACAUAGGAAAGUUUGGAAGGAUGUGAGCCACUCUAUAAGCAUGAGCAUCUUCUAGUGUGUGGGCUAGAGCUCAUAACACCCGUGUGCAGGUGUGCCAUUUUAGUGCAAUUAUUAGAUGUAGUUAGCACUUUGUGUGCUCAUGAAUAAUAAUUAGCAAUAAUCCUCUGUUAUUAUUUUUUUUUCGUGUUGCUAUUUUGCUAAUCUUUCUUAGUCAUGUCUCAACCUUUGGAAGGUUAUAUUUGUUCAAUCGAUAUUUUUCAAAAGUUAUGAAAUUUAGAAUUUAAAAAACUAUUUCAUUGUUAUUGUUGUUGUUGUUGUUGUUGUUGUUAUUACUAUAAUUUAUUUACUUAUUAAUUUUUCCGAAUUGUAAUAUUUCUUUUCAAUGUAAUCUUUGAGAAUGUACCUAUUCACUUUGCAACCUUUUUUGAAGGGUUGCAGAGGACUGAAAUAAAUACAACGGUUUCGAAAUCAAUGAAAAAUUCUGGUCAGUUUCUUUCCAAAAAAAAGUUACAACUAUUAUUUCAAUUGUUUCCCUGGAGAGAUUCUAAAGAAAUAAUAGAAUUACUAUAUGAUAUUCUCAAUCUAGAUUUUGUUGUAUUCUGGAGGAUUUUUGUCGGUAACCAUUCGUAACAUAGUUAAGCAAAUAAUUCCUCAAAAAAAAAAACAGUGUUAUUAUGCUUCAAAAUCUGAUUUCGUUCUACAAUUGCAUGGAGGAUCAAAUGCUUUGUUAACUACUUAAUGUCUUUUUCUGAAGUUGGUAUCGAACGCUUCAAUCCUCGUUUUCCCUUAUUCAAACUAGGGUUGGUGUACCUCCCCUUCAACGGUGAGAAGGGGCGAUGAUGAGCCCCUCCUUGUCUUGCAGCUUAACAUAUGAUCCAUCCUCUAAUUCCCAAACUCGUAAUAGGAUUAGAAUAAAAGACAUAGACACAACUUUCACUUUCUAGCUCAUUACACUUCACGAGCGACCAAAAUUCCUGGACAAAUUUCGGUCGUUUACCAAAUGACGCGAAAAUACCAUUUUAUAUGGAUAAAUCUCGGGGUCCAUACCGCAUGAGUCCAUUAAGCGGGGCACGAGCCAAGCCGAUUUCAUGACAUUGCAUUUUACGAGAAAUCUUUCCGUGGCCAUAGUUUGGGAAUUCAACUAGAAGCAGACCAACUAUAAAAGUGCGUCCAUAUUCAUGGACAAAACAAAAGUAACAAGAAUUUGAUUCACUCCUCUGCUGGGACUUUUGCUGCAUCAGUUCCCAUCAUUUAAUUGGUUAAUUUUUGCAGGUCGCAAAUAUUAUAUUCUUGGAUGAUCCUGUUGGAACCGGAUUCUCUAAAUGACAAAUUGUCAACAUUCAAGAUAUUUAUAUUCAAGAUGUUUCUGUUGGAAGAUAUGAAGAUAUGUUUCUGUAAUUUCUUGUAAUAGGAAAUCAAAUAUACUUUAGGAUAGAAGAAGAUAGGCAAAUAUAGAAUUUCCUUUAUUACUUUCCUUCAUUGUAAUUAAAUACAAUGUUACAUGUACAGAAUCAUUCAAAUGAAAAAAGAAGAUAAUUGCUUCUUCGCCUAUCAUCUGUUCUUCGAAUACCUUCUUCUUCUUCCUUUUCUGACAUGGUAUCAGAGCCUCUCUGGUUCUGAACUGUUUUUGCUUCCGCUUCUGAUUGCCUCAUACUCCAAUCUCGAAUUUUCAGAAAAAGCGUUGCCAAAGGAAUCAAAGUUCUUGAUUGCCUGAAGGACCCAAAAAAAAAAAAACAAUUUAUAUCUCAAUAUUUUUUUGACGAUGAAGUUAACUAUUUUUUUCUUAAUAAUAUGAACAAUCAUUUUCAGGAAAAAUAUUAUCCAAAUCGUUAUAUUUCCGUGAACCAAGUACUCUCUUAAUUUUACUAUGAUAUUUUGCUGCUUGAGCUUUGAUUCAGUGGCUUACAUUGAUCGACUCUGUAGCUUUCGCAAGCCCACGGCUGUUUUGGGUGAAGCUUUAGUUUCUUGUAGAAGUUCGGCGGUUGAUUUUCCGCUGCUUUCUUUUUUCUUUUCCGGGUUUUGAUUUCCCUUUCAUGCGUGAAACGUUAGAUGAUGUGCCUCCCGAGUGAUCAGUGGAGUUGCUGCUGCUUGUUUGUGUCGAUGAUGAUGUAAACGUGUUUGCUUAGGGAUGAGCAUGGUCCGGGUUGGGCUAGCCCACCCCUUAACCCUAAGACCAACCCAUAUAGUAUUGAUCCUCGAUUUUUGGAACUGAUGACUGAUCCUAUUGAGCUUGGGACCGAGAACUAGACCGACCCAAUGGAUUUGGUCUGGUUCGAGAGUCAAUCCGGGACCAACCGAUAAUGUGGGAUGAGCGUCGAGCGUCGAGUAGGGAGUAACAAGCUAGGUGAGCAUCAAACAGCAAGCGGCACGAGUGAUCCGAAGUGAGCGAAGUAAGUGUCGAGUGGCGAGUGGCGAGCGGAGAAGUUGUUUAUUUCAAUUUUGGCAAAUUAAAGAUUAAGAGAACAAAUAAGAUAGAAGAGAACAAAUACUAGAUGAGGAUGCUGUGAAGAGCUAUUUAUGCCAUUUUGAACGCAGUGAGGACUUCUCACAAAAACAUUAUCCUCAUUUAUAAAUUAUGGUUGUUGAUGCCGUAAAAGACAUUAAAAGAUCUAAGUUAUUAAAAAAUAGUGUAAAAUUACUUGAACCCCUCACUCAGGAGUUAUUUAAUGUUGUUGACGCUAUUUAUUUUAGGGUUUUUUAUAUAUAAAAAAUUAUAAAUAAUAUAUUAGAUAUAUAAUAUAUAUAGAAUGAGGAUUGAUCCGGGUUGGACCGACCCUAAACUCUCGGGACUGAGAACCAACCCGCACAGUGCUAAUUUUAGAGGUCAAUGAGUGAAUUCUUUUUUUUCUUUUUUUGUUCUUUUUUGUUUUGUUUGCUUCGAUUUAGAUUGAUUGAAAAUGUGAUUGGUAUGGCUUUUUGUGUUGCAGAGAUAGAUUGCGCGAAUGAAAAGGAUGGAGUUGGGCAAGAUUUUGUUGUGCUAGUCUGGCUGUAGCUGGAGUGGUAAAGCAAAGUUCCCUCCCUUUUUUCCAUAGUCUUGUGUUUUUUGAUUUUUCAAAUUUGAAUUUGAAACCGAAGUGCUGUCUGAUUAUGUGUUUGCGAUUUGGGCUGAACUAUGCAAACAGGUUGCUGCUCCGCUGACAUACCCUGCCAAUGACCUUGGUGGUGAAUGUGAUGAUGCUGAUGAUUGGAAAGGAGAAUUUUUCCCAGGCAUUCCGAACAUCAAGUAUGAGGUGAGGCUUUCCAGAGAAAGGGUCUGUUUAGCUUCGAUUUCAUUGCAAUUUUACUUCUUCAACUUUGUGUUAGGGCCUGCAAAAUUUCAUAGCAGAUCGUGUUUUGUUUUAGCUACUACAUGCAGAUUAAAGUAGUAAACAUGAUUUUUUUUGUAUGUACUGAAAGAAAAUUCAAUAAUUUCGUUUGAGAACUCAAAGUCUAAUUUUGAACUUUGUUAUAUACUAUUGGAAGUGCCUGCUGGUUGAGAUUCUCACUUUAAACAACGUGCUUCUCAUUUAGGGUCCUUCAAGCAAGAACCUGCUGGCAUAUAAGUGGUAUAACGCCGAAGAGGAGAUACUAGGCAAGAAAAUGAAGGUGGGUUCUUUUUCUUUCCCUUGGUGAUUUUUUCUUUUUACUUUGCCAAUCAGUUGUGCGGGUUAUAAAUAUUGAUAGCGGGCUGAUGCUUGCAGCAUUGGCUAAGAUUUAGCGUUGCCUUUUGGCACACAUUCAGGGGAACAGCAGGUGAUCCUUUUUUCUGCCACGAAGUUUUGGCCCUGGGAGGAUGGCACGAAUUCUUUAGCUAUGGCCAAAAGGAGAAGUAAGAAAUGUUUAGCUAGGAAGUGAACAAUAACUGUGUUUCAGUUUGGAAAAUACCUCAGUUUGGAAUGUAUAUAGGAAUCAGUGCUAAUAACUUUUUAUUUCAUUCUGCAUUCGAUGAACAAAACAAUGAGGGCCAACAUUGAAUUCCUGAAGAAAAUUGGAGUUGAUCAAUGGUGCUUCCAUGACAGGGAUAUAGCUCCUGAUGGCUAGACAUUGGAGGAGAGUAAAUAGUCGAAGUCAGUUUUGGUAUUUCAAGUACAUAUGUAGAUUUUGGUUGCUCAGGACAAUGAUCUUAGAAAAAACUUUGAAACACCCCUUCUUAACUUGUGCUGACGCAGCUGCUCAUGAAAAUUCUUAAUCCAGCAGUCGAGUUUAAGUUUGCUCUUUGUCAUUACUGUCACAGGAAUCUAAUGCGAACUUGGAUGAAGUGGCCCUUGCGAAGGAGCUGCAGGUAGACUCCUGGACAAACAAAAUAUGAUUGUUUUUGUUACGGCUGUAGCACUCUUGGAAUGUAAUUCUUUAUGAUGCCUUCUUUACUCAAUUAAUGAAGUCUUCUAGGCUAUUGCUUGAACACAUGAAAAUCCUUAACCUGACUCUGAAUUUUCUAUAUUAGAAGCAUUGGCUCAGCGUUGAUUGAUGGAGUGUUUGGAUGGAUGAUGAUUCCAUGUUAUUGCUGAGAGUACCAUCAUUCAUAAAGCAUAUUCCUAAGCUGUGAGGAUCUUUUGCUCUUACUUUCUAAAUUACGAUCAAACUUGAUGUCGGGACUUGAAGGCAUGGUUUCUAAUUCAUGUUUCCAUGUUCUUGUUAUUCUGAGCUUAAUUUGUUGAAUGCAAUAAAAUUUUGGAGGGAAGUCUCUCAACUUGUAUAUUUCCAUUAUUCAUUUUAAUCAUUUUAAGGAAGUUCUUUCUAUUGCCGCUCUAGACUAUCUGUUAUGAUCUCAAGUAAGAUGAGAUCUUGCAAUUGUUUGUUACAAUUUUAUUGGAUGCCCAUUUUAUCUUGUUAAGCAUCAGCCAUUAUUGGUCAAUAUGCUAUAGAAUGACACAAGCGAACGCAGGUUGACUCCCUUUUUUUGGUGGCUUGAACAGGAAUGCAUCAAAUUAAAGAUAGUUUAUAUGUCUCCCACGACACAAGUGAACUAAGCUUGCUUGAUACUGGUCGCAUCGCCUAAAUCAUCUAGUAUUUUACAUUUUCGUUCCACUCAACUUAACGUCCUAUCCUUAAAAUACCUUUUAUCAUAAUUGACAGGCAAGCUUCCUCGAAGCAGCUGUUGCCUAUAAGGUGAAGAUUGGAUUCAACGGUAAUGUCUUUCUUGACAUUUAAAUAGAACACUUUUAAUAGAAGUAGCGUUCUAUUAGAUUGGGGAUUACCUGGAUUUGUGUUCAGACUGUUUCAUUUGUGUUCAGACUGUUUUAUAUUUAGCAUCCGUUAGCUCUGCCACUGAAAUUCUUUCACUAAUUGUUUAUUUUGCCUGCCAUAUCGGCUUUGCCUGAUUUUCCUUUUCCAUGUGCUUAACCAGGGACUUUAUUGCUUGAACCUAAGCCUCAAGAGCCA
rnacentral:lncRNA from 1 species